rnacentral:lncRNA from 1 species
AGCUGGAAGGUAGUACUAUCUUUGUAGCAAAAAGCAAGACUACCGGAGUUGGUGUCAUCAACCCAACCAUUUUUCUGAGUUUAUAAAUUUGUUAAUUUUUAUCAUCUUUUUAGGGUUUAAUUAGGCAUAUGAGGUCAAACAAUGUAGCAAAAGAGCAAAGGGGCUAAAUUAAAAGAGAUUGAAUAAAAGAUGGCUUUGAUUUCUGGAUUUUUCACAUGUUUAGUUGGGGAGAAAAAACUAAAUAUAAAUUAUAAAAGUGUUAAAAUAUAAAUAUAAAUAUAUCUCAAAUAUUUUUAAAUGUAUUUUAUAACUUUUAAAAUUAGAACUAAAAUGACAGAUUUUGUAAACAUUAAGGGCUAAAUUUGUUAAAUCUUUUAAAUUUAGAAUUAAACUGGUAGAAUCUGUAAACAUUUAAGGCUAAAUUUGUUAUUAAGCCAAUAAAAGAAAAGCUCACAUUAAACUUUUGUUACUAAAUUAAUGGCAAGAAAAACUAAAAUAUUUAAUUUUGUAAAGUUAAUGUGACUAAAUAAAAAAAAAUUUAUACGAUCAAAAUAGAACGAACAAAAUAAUUAGAUGACUAUUCUUAUACCCUACUUACAAUUAUAAGUUGAUUUUUUUUUAUCUCCAUCCCACUAUUUAUAAUAAUGGUCAAAUUUAUUUCGUUAUCAGUCGAUAUAUUUAAUCCUUAAUAAAAAAAUACACAAUAAAAUUUUAACUUAAUAUCAAAAUAUGAUUUAUCGAUCAGUACGAUGGAUGCCGAUAUAGAUUUAAACGCUAUGAUCAGUUUUGGUGGUUUUGAUUUUGGCACUUUGUGACACCAAAAUUACAAAAAUUAGUUAUGUUUAGGUAACGAAAUUUGGAAUUAUCUUAGCAACUUUAUUUAUUAAUUAAAUCUUUUAUAUUUUAACAAUAUGUCUGUGUACUUGUUAUGAAACAUUGUUCCACAGUUUCGUGUCGUGUUCAUCCCAAUUAAUAUAAUAAUUAAUGCAUUUUUCGCAAGGGAAAUAAUCAAAUAAAAAAAUAUUUUUUUUAAAAAUUUGCAUGGUAGACUGACCUUAUUACAAGCAUUUAAUAUUAUGUUUUGUCUGUUUUUCUUAAUUAUUAUUUUAAAUUAUUUAUUUUUUUAAAUAGAAGACCAAGAUAAUGUAAUGACGGUUAAGCCAUGUUUACACUUAAAGCGGUGAAUACUUGAAUCAUGGAAUCUUUUAAUUUAUUUUUAAAUUCAAUUUUUUUUAAUGGAAGACUAAGGAUAAUGUAAUGACGGUUUAGUCCUGUUAUUAUAUUUAUUUAAGAUUCUUUCUUACUACUACAAUUUUAUAUUAUAUUCUGACAGUUGCUGAUCAUUUAAAUUAUUAUAAUUGCACAAAUAUGUGAUUGGGUUGAUUUAAAUCGAAAUAAAAUAUUUAUUGUGAAAUAUUAAUUUUAAAAUCUAAAUUUUUUAAAUAUUAUUAAAUUAAAACCUCACCAAUUUAUUUUUAACUUUUAGAUUAAAUUGAAUAUAUUUAAUCCUUAGAUUUUUUUUUCUGUGUAAUUACAAGGAAAGGAUGAAAAAAAAUUAGGGAUUUAAUUCCUUUUUUAAUAAAAAAAAUUCGAAACAUAUUUACUAUGGAAAUGGAAAAUAAGAGAUGACGAAAUUUAAAAGUAUUAUAAAAAUAUAUUUUUUUUAAAUACUGAUUUUAAUUUGAAUAUUGAAAUAAAAAUGGAUUAAUUAUUACUUAAUAAACAAAUUUCUUUUCAAAAGAAAAUAGUGCAAAAGGUAGGGGCAUUUGUCUCACGUGGCGGCAGCCCAUCGAUAUGAAGUGCCAACCAUUUUACUAGAAACCAGCCGCGUGGUUAUGUGACGCGUAGCAGUGGACUUCCCUUUUCGCCCUUGUGCUCCGCUGACAUGGCGGUCACCUAACCCCACAUGACUGCCUCAUUUCUUGCCAUGCCUACGUGUUGUGACACCCACCUUGUCCCCUCCCACCACUACACUUUACUGGACAAUUAAUUAAAAUAAUCUUAACAUUAAUUUCUUCAAAAACAAACAAACAAACAAACAUCCAAUUUUUCUACAGUCUUAACUGUCAAUCUACUUCCUUUACUACGUUGAAAUUCAAGUUUUAGUCCCUCUUCUUUAUUUUGGUAUAAUACAAUAAAUAAAUCUUUUUUCUUUUAUAAUAUUACAAAUAGGUCCAAUUUAGUAAUACCAUAACUUGUCCUUAAGUUAUCAUCUCAUUAAAUAUUCGGUUACAUGUAAUUUAUUAGGCUAAACUAUUAAAAUAGUCACUUUUGUUUACCUCAGGUUAUAUUUUAGUCACUUAUGUUUGAAAUGUUACGUUUUAGUCACUGAGCCGUUAAUUGCUAAUAACGGUGUAAUGGUAAGCUAACAUGGCACAUUAAAUCAUCAUUUCAAAUGAAAAUUUUAGGUUAAAUUCUACAAUUGGGCCCCAUAUUUUUUUAUUUUGAGCAAUUUAAAUUUUUUAUUUUAUGUUUUUUUAACAUUUUUCCAUUCUCUUCUACUUCUCCCUCUGUUUUACUCUCUUCUUCAUUUAUUUUAGCGUAGUUUUUCUAUGUUUUUCAUUUGUUAAAACUAGUCCACAAACUUGCCUCACUCGAAAAAAUUAAAUUGUUCAAAAAAAAAGUAUACAAACUAGUUUUAACAAAUGAAAAAUAUAGAAAAACUAGGUUAAAAGAAAUAGAGAAAGGAGGAAAACCAAGGGAGAAGUAGAAGAGAAUGGAAAAUAAAGAAAAAAAAAAGGAAAGUUGAAAAAACAUAAAAGAAAAAAAUUGCUCAAAACAAAAAAGUAAGAGGAUCGAUUGUAUAAAUUAACCUAAAAUUUUUGUUUGAAAUGAUGAUUUAACGUGCCACGUCAGCUUGCCGUUGCACCGUUAAUGACAAUUAACGGAUAAAUAACUAAAAUGUUACAAUGAGAUAACAUAAGUGACUAAAAAUGUAACCUAAGCUAAACAAAAGCGGCUAUUUUAAUAGUUUACCAAAUUUAUUAUUUCUUGAAUAUAAAUAAUUGAAUUUUUACGUGAUAUUAUAUGAAUAAAUAAUAGUAAAAAAAUCUACAUUAUCAUUUUAACCAUAAUAAAUUUCUAAAUUACAUCUAAAUAUGUUCUUUUUUAAGUUAAUAAACUUUCAUUUAAAUAAUAACUUAUAAAAUGAAAAUGAUGAAAACUUAUUUAAAUAAAAUAAAAGGUUUAACUCAUAAAUUGGUAUUUAAAUUAUACUCUCUCUUCUUCUUUUUUUAAUACCUAAACUUAUUUUUGGUUAUAAGUGAUAUUUAAAUUACUUUUUUUUUCUUAAGUUGGUAUCUUCAUUAGUCAAACCGUUAAGUCUAUUUUAAAAAGAGACUUAACCACAAAAUAGUACCUAAAAUUUGGGAGGUUUCAUUUUGGUACCUAAACUAUUUUAUUUUUCGAGUUAAUACUUAUGUUAGUUCAAUUGUUAGUUAAACUGUUAAAUAUAUUUAAAAAGAAAAGGUAACCAAAUAAAAAUUGACACAUGACAAAAAAGACAAUCUUUUAUAUAUUUUUUCUUUUUCCUUUUUAUUUUCUUCUUUGGAACUAGACAGAUGGUAGAUAAAAAAAAGUAUUAAAAAAUUCAUAAAAAUUAAAAAUAAAAAAUAGAGAAAAAUUGAUUCAACUGGUUUUUUUAGCUUGAUUUAAUUGAUCUGUAUCUGUUUGUGAGUGUCAGUUUGGUUCAUAAACCAUUGGUUUUGAUCAAUGAAAAUACUUUUUUGACCUCGUCGUGUCGAGCAAGUAGAUGGUAAAGUUUGAAAAUAGAAUUAAUUGCCAUCAUCUCAACCUCAGGGGGAAUAUGUGGUGAUUUAUUAUUGGUUGAAAAUUUUUCAACGAAUAUAACAAUUUGGUGUAAAACGAUGAACAAAUGAAUCGUUUAGGUAUUGCUUGUGACAAAAAAAAGUUUAGGUACCAACUUGAAAAACAAAAUGUACACUUUUGGCAAUAAUUUGUAGGUUAAGCCUUUUUUAAUAUAUAUUUAAUUUUGACUAACGAUUAGACUAAUAAAUGUACCAACUUAGGAAAAAAAGUAGUAUAGGUACCACUUGUGACAAAAAAAAAGUUCAGGUAUCAAGAUAAAAAAAAUAAUUUAGGUGUCAAUUUGUGGAUUAAGCCUAAAAUAAAAAUAUAAAGAUUAUCUGGUUGUUACCUGUAAAUUGUUUUUUUCCCUAAUAUUUAAGUUUAUUGUUUUGAUUUUGUGUUUUUCAGGGUUAAUGUAUUAUUUGAUACUUAACUCAUUUGUUUAGUUUGGUACUUGAGUUUUCUUUUUUCAAUUUGAUAGUCAAAUUUAGCUUUAAUGUUCAAUUUAAUCCAUGAGUUUUUUCAGUUUGAUACUUAAGUUUUUUUUUUCCAAUCAAGUAUCUUAGUUUUUUUUUUUUUUAUCUUAGUUUAACUUUAAUAUUCAUUGGUCCAUAUGGUCCCAUUUGAUUUGAGUACUAAGUUGAACAUUGAAGUAAACUAAAAUACCAAUUUAAGACAAAAAAAUUCAAGUACCAAAUUAUACACUAAAGACAAACAAAUGUACCAAAAUAUAUAUUAAUAUUAUUUGUUUAAACAAUUCUUAAACUACCUACAAACCCUUCAAAUCCUUAAAUCGAAAGUUAAGAUGUGUUUAAGUGUGUCCAGAAAUACAUCCUCCAAAUUAUUGCAAUCAAUGUUUAAAAAAUGACAGUCAACUUAGUUAAAUUAUUGUUUCUCGUGUCAUCAAUUUGAACGUCAGCCUAAUAAUAAUGAAAUAAAUAAUUAAAAACAUAAGAUAAUAUAUAAUCAAUUUACCUAUCAAAUUUUUUUUAUCGAUUUCAAAUAAUUUAACUAAUUUAAAUUUUUAUCCAAAUUAUUAUAUCAUUUAGUAUUUAAUUAAAUUAAUUCCUAUAUAAUUUGUAGAACUCUGACGGAGACCACAGCAACAAUGUAACGGAGGCUAUUUCCUUUUGUUUGUUUCUAUUUUUUUUAAUCGCAACUUAUCCGUAUGAGUGCGUGAGCCAUCAUCCACCUUUUGUCGGGCCCACAUCGACUAGCAAGAUGACGUGGCACUUUCACUUCCAAAGUCUCGGCCUCUUCCCCCUAUUUAAACCGCCAUCGAAGACUCGAACAUCCCCAAGCUCUCAGCACAGUCCACACCAAAAAAACUCCCUUCCUUUUCUUUUUCCUACAAUACGAGCGCUUUAAUUCUUGUUCUCCGAUCGUUCGAUAAAAUCCCCCUUCAAAAAAAGAAUGGCCGUCGAUUCGCCUCUCUCGUCUCCGCUAGGUCCGCCGGCGUGCGAGAAAGAUGCGAAAGCUUUGCAGUUCAUCGAGGAAAUGACUCGAAAUGCCGAGUCCGUUCAACAGAGAGUCCUCGCUGAAAUCUUAUCCCGAAACGCACAGACUGAGUACCUCACACGGUUCCAACUCAACGGUGCAACCGACCGAGAAACUUUCAAGUCCAAGCUCCCGGUCAUUACUUACGAGGACCUUCAGCCUGAAAUCCAUCGUAUUGCUAAUGGCGACCGCUCUGCUAUUUUAUCUGCCCACCCCAUCUCAGAAUUCCUCACCAGGUUCGUAUAUAAUAUAUAAUAUAUGAUUAUGAACUGUACUUAAAGAAAAGGUAUAAUUUCGGGUUUAGUCCUUCUAUUAUGUUAAACUUUGUUAUUUCUUUAAUUACCAUCAUUAAAGCGAUGACCUGGAUUCGUUUACUAUUUAUUUGGUCUCAAUUUCGAGACCAAAUGAAAAUUCGGUCCAUCAUAUUCACUUAAUAGCAAAUUUACAUCUUAACCGAAUGCUUCACAGUUACUAUACUGUUAUCAAUUUGUACAAACGGUCUAAAUUAUGACAAAUUCAAUUAGAAGGUUUAAAUUCUAGAUUUCAACAUAAUAAGAGGACUAAAACUAGAAUUAGACUACAAAUAAUGAGAUCCAUGUAUGUUUCUAUAUUGAUGCUGAUAAAUUUUCCUGGAAAAUCGUGCAGCUCCGGGACAUCAGCUGGUGAGAGGAAACCCAUGCCUACAAUUAAAGAAGAGCUAGAUCGCCGUCAGUUGCUUUACAGUUUGCUCAUGCCAGUGAUGAAUCUGUAAGUAUUUGGGGGAAAAAAAAGGGGUUAAAUUUUGGUUUUGGUCCAUUCGCUGUGCUAAAUUUAAGAUUUAAUAUCCAUUUUUAGUUUCUCAUAAUUUGAUUUUUUUGUCUUUUACAAAAAAAAAACAAAACAAAACAAUUAUUUAGUACAAUAGUUAACACUGUUACUUAUCAUAAAAGCACAGCCAGCAUCAUAUUAUGUGAAAUUGAACUCCAUGAAUUAAAUCACUAAUUUAAGUAGUAGAGGAUUAAAAUGAAAAAAUUGAUAGCACAGAAACAAUGUACUAAUUAGGUUUGUGAUGUUGAAUUAAUGGAACGCGGUUUCUAUGGAACAGUUAUGUGGCAGGCUUGGACAAAGGCAAGGGCCUAUAUUUAUUGUUUGUGAAAUCGGAGAUAAGGACCCCCGGUGGUCUCUUGGCUCGCCCUGUCCUCACCAGCUACUACAAGAGCGACCAUUUCAAGACUCGCCCUUACGAUCCUUACAACGUUUACACCAGCCCCAAUGAGGCCAUCCUCUGUCCCGACUCGUUUCAGAGCAUGUACACCCAGAUGCUCUGUGGCCUCCUUGACCGCCACCAAGUUCUUCGCCUCGGCGCGGUCUUCGCUUCUGGACUCCUCCGUGCAAUCAGGUUCCUUCAACUCAACUGGCGACAACUCGCACAUGAUAUGGAAACGGGUUCCUUGAACUCGAAAAUCACUGACCCUUCAUUGAGGGAAUGCAUUGUUAAGACCCUAAAACCUAACCCCGAGCUUGCCCAGUUCGUCCGCCAUGAGUGUUCGAAGGAUGAUUGGGAGGGGAUCAUUGUAAGAAUUUGGCCUAACACGAAAUAUCUCGACGUCAUUGUAACCGGAGCUAUGGCGCAGUAUAUUCCAACCCUUGAUUAUUAUAGUGGUGGGUUACCUUUGGCUUGCACCAUGUAUGCUUCAUCUGAAUGUUACUUUGGUUUGAACCUUAACCUCAUGUGUAAACCGUCGGAAGUUUCUUAUACCAUCAUGCCCAACAUGGCGUACUUCGAGUUCUUACCCCACGAGCCUAAUCUUGACUCAACUGGUUUCGAUUUCACUCAUGAAUUGCCUCCUAAACUCGUCGACCUCGUGGAUGUGGAAGUCGGGAAAGAAUAUGAGCUCGUGAUCACAACCUAUGCGGGGCUAUGCAGUACCGAGUGGGCGACAUUCUUCGCGUCACCGGUUUCCACAACUCGGCCCCGCAAUUCCAUUUCAUCAGGAGGAAAAAUGUGUUGCUCAGCAUCGACUCAGACAAAACCGACGAGGCUGAGCUGCAAACGGCGGUCGAGAAUGCUUCUCACCUCCUCCGUGAGCACAACGCCAGCGUAGUGGAGUACACGAGUCACGCCGAUACAAAAACAAUCCCUGGUCAUUACGUAGUAUACUGGGAAUUGUUGGUGAAAGACUCGACCAACUCCCCAGACAAUGAUACCCUAGAACAAUGUUGUUUAGCAAUGGAAGAGUCACUGAACUCAGUAUACCGGCAAGGGCGAGUGGCGGAUAACUCGAUCGGACCGCUAGGAAUCCGAGUGGUAAAAAACGGGACGUUUGAAGAGUUAAUGGAUUACGCAAUAUCAAGAGGAGCAUCCAUUAAUCAAUACAAGGUUCCAAGGUGUGUUAGUUUCACCCCAAUCAUGGAGUUGUUGGAUUCUAGGGUGGUAUCUGCACAUUUUAGCCCAGCUUUGCCACAUUGGUCCCCAGAAAGAAGUCAAUGAAAUGGGCAUAUAUAAAUAGAUAGAUUCUCUUUGUUUUUAUUAUUUUUUAAAAUUAAAUUUAGUUAUUAUUAUUAUUAUUAUUAUAUAAUUUUGUAGUAGCUUUUGGUGUAAGGUAAAAGUGUAAGUUGAGUAGGACGAUUCAAAGGCUGUUUCUUUCAUGUAUGGAGCAUAACAGGUAAGGUUUCUUUGCUUUAAUAUCCUGUCUUUGGCUUUUCUUCCUAGAUAGCAUUUUGGAAUUCAAGAUUAUAAAAAAAAGUUUUCCAAAAAAAAAUAUAUUAAAAUUUUAAAAUUGUCAAAUGUCCUUUAAUUUUAUUAAAAAUAAAAAUUAAUUUUUAAAAAUAAACAACAGUUUUCUAAAAAUAGUAAUCCUGUAUAUAUUACAUGCCAUGGAAGUAGCUCUAGGAAGGUAAUUACGAACCGAGAACUCACAUUUUGCUCUUUAAAAAACAUUAUUAGAAGGAAUUACCAUAAACCUAAUAAAUUAAUUUUCAUCAAAUAUUCCGGUUGGCAAUGAAUUUUUGGAGUUUUUACUGCUUCAAAUCUGGUUGACAUUUUAGUGAGUUUCAAUGCAUGUUUCCCCUUGUUUAAAGAGUUAGGGACACAUUAGGUAAGUUGUGUAAAUUUAGGGAACCAAAUUCUAAAAUGGUUUAAAUUGAAUAAUUAAACUUUUAGAGGGUCAAAAAUAUAAUAUUAUUUCAUUCGAUUAAAGUUAGAAAAUGAUUAAAUUAAAUUGUUUAAAAUUUUUUGAUACAAUGCUUAGAACUACCAAUAACCUCUUUUUGAUACAAUACGAUCUUAUGUGAUUUUUUUUUAUUUCAAAUCCACCUAAGUUAAUCUAUCUAUUGAAAAGUGAGAAUUCAUAAUAGAAAUUCUCAAAAACAUCGAAAAUAUAGCAGAAGCAACUUAAAUAUAAAGAAGUGAUGAGAGAACAGAAAAACCAUAAGAAAACAACGCCCACGAAGUGUUUGAGUAAAUGCUCUAAAAAUAUAUUUACUAACUCUGAAUGAAAUACGAUGAGAUUUAUGGGAUGUUUAUAAAUGAGGAGGAAUGUCUCUAUAAUCCAACGAUACAAUUUGCUUUACAGCGAUGGUCGAGAUUAAAGUUAAUUUACGAUUGAGAUUCUUAAAGGAUUUACAUGAUUCCCUAAUAUUAAAAAAAUCAAAUCUUCUAGAAAUAAAACUCCUCUCUGCUCCCAAGAGUGCUUUACGUAGAGUCCUAGAGAAAGCAGUAACUGCUGCGGCUUGGGAUGGAGGAAAGCGAUAGUGAGGAUAGAGAGGGGAGGGAUGAGAUCUCUCUUCUAGCAGAAGAACUCAUCCAAUUAUUAGUCAAGGGGUCGAUGGUGGUACCAAAUUCUAAACCAACGCUGAUAUGUACAGUUUAGACAGAAAAGCUUUAUAACCCAGAAAGUUUUAAGGCACAAAUGAAAAGUAUAUGGAAGACAAGAAAAAAGUUUGAGAUCCAGAUGGUGGGGCAAAAUUUAUUUCUGAUAGUGUUUGAUUUGGAAGAAGAUCUAGAGACGGUUAUGGAGGGGAGACCUUGGCAUUUUCGUAAAAGUAUUAUUUUAUUUGAUAGGUUAAUUCAGGCGGUGGAAAGAGAUCAGAUUAGGCUUAAUUCAUCUCCGUUUUGGAUAAAAAUUGAUUUGUAUUUACCAGAAUUUGAUAAGAAGGAACUCUUGCUUGCAAUUGGUGUUACGUUUGGAGGGUUCUCAGAUCUGAAAUUAAUGAAGUCUGUUGUCGCUCAGAAUCACCUUGGAUGUUCGAAAACCACUUCGCCGAGGUAUUUUUGUCUCUAGUAAUAAUGUUAAUAAAAUGUGGGUUCUUUUCAAGUAUGAUAAUUUACCGAUGUUUUGUUUUGGAUGUGGAAGAAUGGGGUAUGGGAUAAAAGAUUGCACUCAAAUAAUACCUGCAAGGAAAAGUAAAAUCAGUGUUGAUCCACCUUAUACGUUAACUUUAAAAGCAUAAUCAAAAUUAACUGGAAAAGAAAAUAUGAAAUUUAAUGCUAUGAUGAAGAAGGUGGGGUUCAAAGUUCUUACAUAGGAGGCAAAAUAGUGCUGGCAGAAAGCUCUAGAACAAUGGAAAAAGAGAAUAACGAGAUUCGGGGUGCACAGGAGAAUAUGGAAUUGAUGGGAGGGGAUGAGAUGAUAAAGGAGCAGGGAUGCAUAUAUGGGAUAGAUGAGGUCGAGAAGUUGAAUGAUAGUACAGUACAAGAGUGUAAAAACGUAAAUCCUGAAAAGAAGACGAGCUGGAAAAGAAUAAAACUAGUGGCUACGGUGAUACAAACAAAGGCUGAGAAUAGUACGAGAAAGAGUAAGUCCCCAGAAGAAGAUCUUGCAAGAAGUGAUAAUGAAGAUUUUGAUGUGGAUGGAACUAAAAGAUUGAAACAUGAUGAUUUUGAGGGUUGCGAAAAAGCCUUCUCAGAGGUGAUGUUAGAUAGUUCUGGGCAACUUGAUAUUAAAAAUUUCUUGAGAUCUGUGGCUACCAAGAGGCAAGUCAACCGGACGCAAUGAAAAUUAUAAGUUGGAAUAUUCAUAGAUUAGGGAGUCCACGAGCAGGAAGAAGGCUACAUUUUUUCCUAAAGCAGCACAAUCCCCAUAUGGUCUUCUUAAUGGAGACAAAGCUAGAUAAGCAAUACAUGGAAAAAGUCAGGAGGAGAUGUGGUUUUACUAAUGGAAUUGAUAUUGAAUCAGAAGGUUUGUGAUGAGGAUUAUGUUUAGCAUGGAAAGGAGACACUGUAAUAAGUUUACAAAGUUUUUUUAGGAAUCACAUUGAUGUUAUGGUUAAUGAAGGUAAGGAUGAAGAAGAAUAGAGAUUCACGGGGUUCUAUGGUUCGCCCUAUGUUAAUAAUAGGAGCGCUACGUGAAAUCUGCUAAAGAAAUUGGGGCAAGAUAGAAGUCAUCCAUGGUUAGUAAGUGGUGAUUUUAAUGAGAUCAUGUAUUCUUAUGAAAAAUGUAGGGGUGUACCAAGGGAAGAGAGUAGAUUGGAAGCCUUCCAAGAGGUUUUAGAAGAAUGCCAAUUAGAAGAUUUGAGAUAUUCGGGGGUUUGGUUUACUUGGGAAAGGGGAAAUUUACCGUAGAUAAAUAUUAGAGAAAGACUUGAUAGGGGAGUGGCAAAUGAUAAAUGGAGGCAGAUAUUUCCAACAGGUAACAUCAAACAUCUACCACACUCAAUGUCUGAUCAUUACCCACUUCUUCUAAAACAAAAUGUGAAAAUUCUUAUAAGGGCAAUCCAAAAUUUAUAUUUGAGGUGUGGUGGCUCAUGGAGGAAACGAUUGAGAAAGUAAUUAAAGAAUCUUAGGAAUCAGGAACAGGCACAGUAGCUGAAAAACUUGAAAGAUUACAAGCAGACUUAAAGAUAUGGGCGAGAUCAAUCAAAGAAGGGCGAGAGGGACUAAAGAAAAAGCUUACGAAGCAACUUGAUACGUUAAUGACGCAAGAAAAGACUGACGAAACGAUGGCAAAAGUUAUCGACACCAAGAUUCACUUGAAUAUAGAAAUUGAUAAAGAUGAAGCUUAUUGGGAACAAAGGGCAAGAGCAAAUUGGCUUAAAACAGGGGAUAAGAAUUCAGCUUUUUUCCAUAGGUUUGCCACAUAUCGAAGACACAUUAAUGCCAUAUCAAAGUUGGAACUAGAUGGAUGAGGAGAGGCUAAUGAAGUAAGUGAGAUUAAUGAAGCUGUUACUAUGUACUUUCAGAAGCUAUUCACGUCAAAUGGAGUCGAAGAUCCUUCUUAUCUCCUAACGGGCAUUGAAAAUAAUAUUCUGGCAGAUAUUAAUAGAGAUUUAAUGUUAAACUAUAUAGUAGAAGAAGUCUAUGAUGCAUUGAAAGGAAUGGGACCUACUAAAGCACCAAGACAUGAUGGUUUUCCAGCAAUCUUCUUUCAGAAAUAUUGACACAUUGUAGGUAAGGAAAUUGUUAACUUUUGUUUGAGAAUACUAAAUAAUGGUGAGAGUUUUGGUCCUUUCAACCAAACAGAGAUCGUGUUGAUUCCAAAAAUCCCUAAUCCCACAAGUCUAGAUAACUUUAAACCUAUUAGCUUGUGUUCGAUUAUUUAUAAAAUGAUGGCAAAAAUAAUUGUAAAUCGACUACAAGUAGGUAUUGGGAGAUGUAUUGAUGUGGCUCAAAGUACUUUUGUCCCGGGAAGGCUAAUUUCUGACAAUGUGCUUUUAGCUUAUGAGGUUUUGCAUACUUUUCGACAAAAGCGCAGAGGAAAAAAAGGAUAUAUGGCACUAAAGCUUGACAUGAGUAAAUCCUAUGAUAGGGUCGAAUGGGGCUAUAUAAAAGAAGUUAUGUUAAGAAUGGGUUUUGCAAAGGACUGGGUGUAGUUGGUUAUGAAAUGUAUCUCCACAACGUCCUAUGGAGUUAAUACAAAUGGAAGAAGUGGACGAAGCUUUAAAUCGACAAGAGGCUUGGGACUAGAGGUGCUUAUGGGCCGGGCUGGACCCAUAAAAAAUUUCAGCCUGUUACCUACGCCCGGGCCCGGCCCGGCCCGACCCGAAGUAUGGGUCUGAUAUUUUGCCCAGGCCUGGCCCGUGAAAAAAAUAUGAAGCCCGGGCUCGGCCCGGCCCUUUUUUUAACUUAAAAGUUAAAACUAAUUGUUAUUAAAAUUAAUUGUUAUUGAAUUUAUAUCAAAUAUCAAAUUGUAAUUUUUUUGUAUAUAAUGAACAAAAAAAUAAAAUAAGAUUAUAAUAUAUUAAAACAGUAUAUUACAUUAAAAAUUAUUGUUUUAAUCAAAAAAUUAACAAUAUUAAUUAUUUAGUUAAUAACAUUAUAAAAAUAUAAGCACCAUUUUAUGUUAAAAAAUAAAGUAUAGAAACUAAAAUUUAAUCAUUUUGGUAAAAGGAUAUAAAGAUUAAAGUUUAGUUGUAACUUGUAAGCAUAAUGGAAUGAGCAAAGAUCUGAGUUUUGGUAAAAGGAUAUAAACUAGUUAUUUAACUAUGCUAGCCUUGUGAUACAAGAUCAAACUUGUCACAUGUUUAAGUAAUACUAAAAAAACACACAUCAUUUAUGAAAAGAUCUGAGUUUGAUUGUUUCGAAGGAAAGGGUGUGAUAGCAACCUCUAAGUGAUAGCAACCUGACUGGGCCUGCUGUUUUUCUGCCUCAAUAGCUUGUUUCUACAAUAAAACAAAGCAAAAACAAAAAAGAUGAGAUUAAAAUUAUGAAUAACAUGUACAAAAUACAAUGGGAAAUGUUACUACUGCAAGAAGUGAAGUAAUAAUGGAAUGAGCAAAGAGUUGCAACAUCUACGCCACUAGAUUUCAAGAAGUGAAGUAAUAAUGGAAUGAGCAAAGACUCGAUUUUUCAAAGAGCUGGUACUGGGAUUGUCAUACAAGAGAAUUUAAAACAGUGUUGUACAAGCUUGGUCUGUUUUCAUACAAGAAGAAAGAACAUAAGGAUAUAAAUGUAGAUAGGCUCCUUGUAAGAGAAUUUAACACAGUGUUGUACUAAGAGAGUUUAAAACAGUAUUCGAGAGCUCAUCAGGUUCACUAAAUUUAAGGAAUAUAUGAUCUGUAAAUUCACAAGAAAUAUCAAUAUUAUACAAAUAUUAAUUAUAGAUAUUGAUUCCAUUAUGUUACAAAAUGUAUUUUUACUGUGACAGUACAAUCCUUUAUAGUUUGACUUUUCCUCAACAAGACCCAAAAUAAACAAAGUUGGAUGUAAUUUAAAUAUAAAAAUUUGUCUUUGUAAAGUUAAAUGGACAAUUUAGGCUUACUCAACCGCUCCAUAUCAUUUUAAAAAUAUAUACUUAAUAAUUUUUAUUUAAACUUUAAAUAGUUUUUCUUUUAAUUUGAAAUUAAACAAUUUAUCUAAAAUCUGAUUUUUUUUCUUGAAGUACUAACUUCAUUAAAAAUGGAAAUCGAAGUACGAAUGAAGUCAUUUCCACUGCAUAUAAUCAAACUUCCAAUUCUUGUUAUAAGGGCACAUUGUAAAUACCUAUCUAAUGAGACUUCAACAAGAUUUCACUUUUAUUUUAUUCAAUAUAUUCAUUCAAGGCAAUCAAACAUCCUCAAAAACAUCAAAUUAUAAAUCCAUAUCAAAUCUUCAGAUACAAAAAAGAGAUAUGAUUGAAUCAAGCUAUGAAGGAGACCACCAAUCAACCAAUGGUCAAACAACAAAGAGAUAAUAACUGGAUUUCAUAUGGAACAUAAGAACGCAAGCCCAAUUAGCUACCUUCAGUUUUAAAAUGAAUAUGCCACUGAAAGUGAAAACCAAUCCAAAGAAAAUUAAUACAACAUAAUCUUAUCAUUGUUAGCCCUCAUUCUAAACAAACAUGAACCUAGAAAAAAAAAUAGGUAGGAGAUUCAGAACAACAAAUAUCCCAUAUAUAGCACAAAAAACAAACAGAAUCAUCUCAGAAACACGAAAGAACAUUCAAGACCAACCAUUUAUAAAAACACCCAAGAAUAAAAACCACUCAAAUCGCAUGAAAUGAAGAAAGGCCCACUAAUUUAAUCUAUGUUGGAUGAAAGCACAAAGAUUGCAAACACAGGUACAUUAACCCCAGAAAGAAAAAAUGGAAGUAUGAACAAUCUUACCUCUCAAUAGCCAGAUUAUUACAAGCAAGGACUUUAAUAGUCAUGGAGGACCGGACACUGGAGGUGGAAUGGUGGAUCGAUGGAGAUGGUUUUUCGAUUUGGGGAAAAAAAUAGAGGGGAUGGGUUAGGGAUUUAUCAGAUACACGGGAAAUGGGAAACGGGAAAUGUAAUAAUAAAUUUUAAAAAUAAAAAAAAUAUUAAUUAUAUCCGGGCCGGGCCCAAAAAAUUUUACCCAAGGCCCUGUUCAUUUUCUAAACAAGCCUAUAUUUUUACCUAAACCCUCUCAAAUUUCAGGCAGACCAUUGGACCGGGCCGAGCCACCCAACCCAUGAGCACUUCUACCUGGGACAAGGAGAUCCUCUAAGUUCUUUUUUAUUUUUAAUGUGUAGCAAGGGAUUAUCAUCUUUGAUGAGAUUAGCAUUGAAGGAAGGAUUGUUAAGAGGUGCAAAGGUGAGUAGAAGAGGCCUAGAAAUUUCACAUUUACUUUUUACAGAUGACAGUAUUCUGUUUGGGGAAGCAUCAGAUAGGGGGCAAGGUGCUAAAAGGAAUUCUUAAGACGUAUGAAAAAUGUUCUGGCCAAUGUGUAAAUUUCAAUAAAUCUACAAGCUUUUUCUGCACGAACACUAUAGAAGGAAAAAAUAAAGAAGUCUCGGCAAUCUUGGGGGUAAGGACCUCAACAAAUAUGGAAAGAUAUUUAUGUCUCCCGAAUGUGGUUGGUAGACGGAAAAAAGAAUCCUUUCAGCUUUUCAAAGAGAAGAUUUAUACUAGAAUUGAAGGAUGGAGUACCAGAAUGUUAUCUGAAGGAGGUAAGGAAGUAUUAUUAAAUUCGGUACUUCAGUCUAUUCCAACCUAUGCUAUGUCUUUUUUCUUACUACCAAAGUCGCUUUGUAGAGAUAUAGAAAGUAUAUUUGCUAAAUUUUGGUGGCAAAAAGCGCACGGGAAAAGAGGAAUUCAUUGGUGUCAAUGGAAAUAUUUGUGUUGGUCAAAAGAAGAAGGUGGUUUGGGUUUUAGAAACAUGGCUCAGUUUAAUGUCUCAUUACUAGCCAAAUAGGGGUGGAGAAUUUUAAACAAUCCAAAUUCUUUAAUAGCUCAAGUUUUAAAGGCAAAAUAUUACCCAAAUGUUAAUUUCUUAAAUUCACGAUUGGGGAUCAAUGCUUCGUAUAGAUGGAAAAGCAUUUGGGCUACAAAGGACACUUUAGAGGAAGGUUUGUGUUGGAAGGUGGGCAGGGGUACGCAUAUUUCAGUUAGUAAUGAUUUUUGGAUCCCAGAUAUGAAAAAGAACAGGUUAUCAGCUUUAAUUACGAAUUUGAAUGAUUUUAAAGUUGCUAAAUUAAUUGAUCAAAGUAAUAGAACAUGGAAGAAAGAAUUGAUAGCUUCUACCUUUCCAGAGGAUGUUGUCGAGAAGAUUAUUUGCAUUUCGUUGGCAGAAGAACCUUUUGAAAAUUUUCGGGUCUGGAGUGCUGAGGCGCCGGGCAAACUCACAGUACGCAGCGCCUAUAAACUAUUACAAAGCAUUGAAGAUGAUCCUAGAGCUUACGCUUUACAAGCCGACUAUAAGGAAUUCUACAAAAAAUUAUGGCUUCUGAACCUUCCUUCAAAAAUAAAAAUUACAAUCUGGAAGAUAUCAUAGAAUUUUCUAUCUACAUGAGUUAAUAUGCUACUAAGAAAGUUAACAAACACAACAGUAUGCCCCCGUUGUGGAGUAGGAACAGAGAAUAUGGACCAUCUUUUCUGUGAAUGUCCUGCUUCAAUUUCAGUUUGGAGAGAGUUAUCAUGCCAAGCAUUUUUGCAAGAAAAUCAGUUAGAGUUUGUACAGUGGCUAACCUGGGUAUUUGCGAAGAACUCGGUAUCACAGUGUAGGAUAUUUUGUUGUGCAUUAUGGGCAAUUUGGGGAGAUAAGAAUGAUAGAGUGCACAAAAAAGUGAGUAAAUCUGGAAAAGUAAUAGGGAGAUUUGUUAAUAGUUAUAUAUCAGAGUUGAAUAAGAUUGAUAAAAGCAAACCACAAACUUCUAUAACUAUUAACAAGUAGAGGAAGCCACCUGAUCAGGUUGUGAAAAUUAAUUUUGAUGCAGCAUGCGACGAAAAUUUUAAUCAAGCGGCUGUGGGGAUUGUGGCCAGAGAGAGUGAGGGCAUGGUUCUUUUAUCAUGCUCGAAGAUCUAUCAACCGAUUGCAUCAGCCUUUGCGACUGAGGUACUCAUGUGCCGGAAAGCGAUCCAAAUCGGCAUAGACAUGCAUUGGGAAAAAGUCAUUAUUGAAGGAGACUCUUUAUCAAUAAUAAAAAAACUAGUAGUUUACUUAGUUGGAGGUGUCCCCGAAUAUGCAGAAGAACAAGAGGAAAGGGAUAGAGUGAGAGAGCCAGAUUGAACAGGAAAGGGAGAAGAUGAAAUGGGGGGAGUCUGAAUGAGGGUUGGUAAUGGAAUGGACGAAAUUAAAGUCCCCUCGGGAGUGUGAAUGCGUCUUGAUGAAGAAAUGGCAGAUGAAGUGACAAGACGGUGAAGAGUCAUCUUGCUGAUUGGCCAAAAAUAACAGCAACAUUAAUGGGAAUCCAGAGCGUUCUGACUCUAUUUUUGUUCUGUUGAUUUUCUAGGCUGAAUUAGGAUUUGGUUUGUUGUUCUUAGUUUUUAUCGUUUCUUUGUUUAUUUUGAUGCUGGGCCAAAUCUCAUAUCCGGGCCUUUCUUUUUCUCUAGGUAAUUAUUUAUGUACUUUUGAAUUUAUUAAUAAAGCCCAAUCUGUAGUUUAAUUUCAAAAAAAAAAAAUCAAAUCUUCUAAGAUUAAUUUUCAUAUUUACCAUGACAACCCUAAUUUUCUUUAACCGUUUCAUUGGGUCACCAAUACUUCAAAUAGGUGAACUUCUCCACAAGCAAAUAGUAUUAUUUUCAAAAUGUUAAGUGUGACAAGAUUCACAUGCAUGACAAACCCGCCAUUUGAUAUGGUAGGAUUACUUUUUGAGAAAAGAAAAUCUAUCAUAUUUUUUAAAUAAUUUUAAAACUACAACAUCUUUCUAAAUAUUUUUUAAAUUAUAAUAUUUUUAUAAAAUUAAAUUUUAAAAAUAACAAAAUUUGGCCAAAUUGUCAUGUGUCAACUUCUUGUGAAAUUGCCUGACGAUCUCACAGGAAGUUGUUAUGUGGCAAUUCAACCCUUUUUUUUUUAAGUAUAAAGUGUGACACAUGUCAUAUGCAAAGCGAACCUGUCAUUUGUCAUUAUAUUUAGGGAUAAAUCUCAAAACUAAAAAUGAACUUUGCUCUAAUAUGUAAUUUUAUACAUAAACUUUGAUUUUGUACAAUUUUAUACAUGAAAAUUUGAUUUUAUCCAAUUCUCACAAAUUAUUAACAUAAUUAAUGAUAUAACAUCAUUUUAUGUUUAUAUAUUACAUAAAUGUAUAAUUAUAUUUAUCCAAUAUAAAAAUAAAUUGAUGUACUUAUUUACUUAAAUGUGUAUGGUUUCACCAAAAUUAAAGUUUCAUGUGCAUAAUUGCACUAAAUUAAAGUUCAUGUAUCAAAUUGUACAUUUAAUAAAAGUUCAUGUAUAAUUUUGAGAUUUGUCCCUUAUAUUUAUCAUAAAUAUGAUUGUACUUGUCCACAUAAAGUUUCAAAUUGAUCUGAUAUCUUUAUCAUAUUGAUAGAUAAUUGUUGGGCAUUUUUAAAUUACUCAAAACUCAACGUGCAUGUAUUAUAAAAAAAAAACCCAUCAAGAUGCAUGAACUAUGUGAAUAAAACAUGAAAUAUGAUCGUUGGAUUAUUAAAAUAUUAGUUGGACAAAUUUUAUCCAAAUGCGAAAAUUAUUUGGGUUUUACAUUAGUGUAAUAGAUCACUUAUUGUUGAUACAUGGAGCAAGUUAUGGUGGUUUGUGAUAGUUUUCUCAAUGGGUGAAAAGUCAUAAGAAGGUUGAGAUGAUUAGAAUUUGGAUGCCUGGGGAAAGAUAGAAGAGGUGAGGAGAGAGAGUUGAGAGUGUAAGAGGAAAAAGUGCCUCAACCUUAUUCCCGGUUCCAAUAAGCCUUUCAGGGGUUGCUUCGAAUAGUUUCUAAGGUGCCACAUGCCAACCAUAUAUUUGUUUCGAACUUAUUGGAAUUUAGCUAACCUACUACUACAUUGCCAUCCUAGGUACGACUAUCAUGUCUAGGGAACAAAUAUAUAUGAUAUUUGAGCGGUAGGCAUCCUAUCCAUGUUAGGUGUGUGGUCCUAUUGAUUAGAUCUUGUGAGGUCUUGUGCUCGCAAGAUUUUGAGCUUACUGGUGUCUUAGCUUGCAAAGUGUUCUCCUCAGUCAAAAGCGUUGACUUGCAAGAUUUGCUCGUGUGGUGUAGGUAAUAACACUUUUAUAAGGUUAGCAUUUGAUACAUUUCUAGUGAAAUGUUUUAACUUCACAUUAAGGCUUCAAAUAUUUCCAAAUGUCCUUAUUUAGUACUUUAUUUUUAAAAAAAAAUUACCGAAAUGGGCCCAUUAUUUAAUUAUUUACCGGAAUGGUCUAUUUUCCGGCAAAUCACGUCCACGUCAGCGCGAUGUCAGGGGACGCGCCAGGAAAUCGCGUCCACAUCAGCGCGAGUUACUGACGUGGCAACAAAUCGCGCCCUCUAGGACGCGAUUUGCUGCCACGUCAGCAACUCGCGCUGACAUGGAUGCGAUUUCCUGUGCCACGUAGUGCGUUCCGGGGGACGCCAUUUUGCCGUUUUUCCUACGUUAUGUUUUUUCGGCUUUUAAGGCUUAGGGUUCAAGCUUUUUAGGGUUUUUAGGUAUUGGAAGAAAUAAUUUUGAGUUGACGUUUCUGAUCAAAUAGUAUAAAAUCGUUUCUAGCAAGAUGCUAUUUGAGAAGAAUUUGUGAAAUCGCGCCCUCGUGGACGUGCUUUUGCUACAGUCGGUCAUGGAAGAAAUACUUUUUUUUGACGUUUCUGAGCAAAUAGUAUAAAAUCGCUUCUAGCAGGAUGCUAUUUGAGAAGAAUUUGUGAAAAUCGUGCUCUUGUGGACGCGCUUUUGCUACAGUAGCAUGUUUAGGCUGAGGCUAUAAAUUAGGCAUAAAAUGUUCUCAGAAUGCAUAAGUCACAGUAGAAACAAUUUAGAGAGGCUAAGAAGGUUAGAGUUUCAAAUAUGAGUGAACGUAUUAGUGUUGUUAUUUACUACGAUGGUGAGGUUUGCCACACCGAGAAUGGUGUUGUUUUUUUGUCAGAGAAUACAGUGCGACUGGUUUUUAACCAGAACAUAGAUUUGACAGAACUUCGUAAAAGAAAUAGGCGUAAAAUUUUCAGAACGACGCCAAUGAAAGUUCUGUCUAUCACAUAUCGAUUUUGUUCUUCUGUUGAUCCGGUGACAUAUGACUCGUUCGACAUAAAAGAUGCUCGUAGCUUGGAGGCAAUGGUGCAGACUCAUCUUGCUAGUGGAGCACCUUAUAUUAAGUUAUAUGUACAAUUUACAUCGCUAACUGAUGUACUUGCGACCGGUGUUCGAGAUGUAUACACGACCCCUGGUCGACACUCGGUUAGUGGGUUACAAAAUACGGAACAGUCCAUGUUCGAUAGCGGUGUCAAAUGCACAUCCCCCGUAAGACACUCUGUCGGUGGAUGGGACAUGUACGUCAGUGGCUCGACGUUUGAUGCUGGAAAUACGUUCUGGGGAACGGCAUCAAGUUUUAGUGGGUGGCAAUUUACAUCCAAUUGGGGACGUUAUCAAAUGCCCAGAAGAAGGGAUGACGUACUCCCUACGAUGUCAACUGGUGAGGGGACCUCGUACGCUGCAGAUGAUUGUGAGUUAGAAGAUGACUCCGAUGUGGAUCCACCUCGAGAUCCCGGGCCGGAUGGUGCAGAAGUUGGCUUAUUUUCUGAACUGAAGCCUAUUCUAAUAGAACCUGAUUUUUGCUCUCCUCGAUCGCGUCGCCCCGCACAUCUCCCGAUAUAACGUUGCCAAGACGGCAGACCCCCAACUCAAUUCACCAGCUGCUCUAAAAUCAACGAGUUUCAGUAGCCAUUUUAGAUGUACGCGGCUCCGUGACGUGUCGGGCAUCAGAUAACCUCCAAUUAAUUGAAGAAUAUAUGCUUAAGCAUAUUGGAUUAUUUCAAUUUCGGUUAAAUCUUCAUCCAGAUCAGGAAAUGUAUCACGUAACUAGCCCAUUUCGAUCUUACCUCCCUCAAUUUUCUCCGGAAUAGCGCCCAAAAGCUCGUAGAACACCGCCCCCCAAUCGCUAGAUUGGGCAGACCCGGUGACUGGGCUCCCGUCCACCGGUAAUCCCAAUUGCAGACUGACAUCUUCUAGAGUGAUAGUGCACUCUCCACAUGGAAGAUGGAAUGUGUGCGUCUCGGGUCUCCACCUCUCGAUCAACGCACUGAUUAGUUUCGGGUCCACCGUGCAUCUCCGGCCUACCGUCGCCAUGUGCCAAAAACCCGCUUCCCGCAGGCAGUUCUCUACCAACGGUGAUGGAGGAGCAUGCAUAUUCCGGAUAUUGCAUUCCAAUAACCGAUCUACAGACUUUUAUAACAAAUAAAAAAUUAAUAAUUAUCUAAAAAUGCAUAAAUAAAAAAUUCUUAAAUAAUAUUUAAAAAUUAAAUUUAAUACUUACCAUUUUCAUUUGUUCCACCGAUAUGUGAUGCUUAUCAAGACGAGUCAAUUCUCCGGCCAUUGCUGAAAUUGUACAAAUUUUUACGGUUUAAAAAAAAAUAAAAAAAUAUUUUUAAAAUUAUUUAAAAAAUGGAGUUAAGAGAAACUUAAGAGGAACUUAAGAGGAACUUAAGAGAAUUUUUGAAGGAAAUUGAGAGGAAAUUUGAGAGAGGAUUAGUUUGUGAAAAAAGGGGUGGGAGAUAUUUAUAGUUUUUUUUUUACCGUUGGGGGGGACAACGGUCAAAUUUUUGACUAUUGGAGCACUGUUCACGCAAGGGUCAAGUCUCGGCCACGUCAGCGCGAGUUGCUGAAGUGGCAGCAAAUCGCAUCCUAGAGGGCGCGAUUUGUUGCCAUGUUAGCAACUCGCGCUGACGUGGAUGCGAUUUCCUGACGCGUCCCCUGACAUCGCGCUGACGUGGAUGCGAUUUGCCGAAAAAUGGACCAUUUCGGUAAAUAAUUAAAUAAUGGGCCCAUUUCGGUAAUUUAAAAAAAAAAGACUUUUUUUGGUAAAAUGCCCAAAUGGAACACCAUAUAUAAUCCUUUGAAACUUGCUUGUGGAGUCUAAAAAUUUCAUUGACUGGGUAUUAAAUAUUUUAUAUAUAUAUAUAUAAGAAAAAUCCACUUACAUUAUUGUAAACUCAAAUUGUUUAUCUGCUUUCAUGACUUUUUGUAGGAUUAAUAUUUUUAGAAUCCAACUGUCAUAUUUCAUGUUCUAUUUAUAUGAUUAUCUAUGUCAAGUUUUAAGUAUAUUAAAAAUGUCUAGCUAUUUGUUUUAUAUAAAAAAUUCAACCGUUAUAGAUAAAGACAAUAUUUUGGAUCAAAUGCUAGAUAUAUUGGAACUAUUGAAAAUUUACUUACUUGACAAACACAAUUAUAUUAAUAAAUUCAACUGUAGAUUAUUAAAAUAUUUAUCAUACAAAAAAGUUAUAGAAGUGUGUAAAACUAUUUGAGUUUUACACAAUCGUAGGGGGAUCUCUUCCAUAUGUAUUAUUGUAUAUUUAGAAGUUAAAAUCUUUGAUUGAAUUGGUUCAUGAGUCAAAUGAAUAGGAAACCAAUUGUGAAAUGAAAAAAAGAAAAAAAAUCUUCUUUUUUACAAAGUAAUUAUAUUAUUAUGAUAGUAUUUUGGUUUUUUUUUAUACUCAUAGGUUUGAAUAAAAUGCAACCGGGUAUUCACCCUAUCAAUAUCUCAAAUCAAUGAUGGGUUCGAUUCAGACCUUGCCUAAACGGCACCCGAAUCAGACCGAACCAUUUGUCAGGCUAUUGUUCUCUUGUUUUGUUCCUUCAAAGUAAUGUAGUAAGACAUCGAUUUCUCAAAAAGAUCAAUUCUUUUGAUUACAUGAUAGACUUCCCUGAAAAACAUUGGCGCACGUGUAAACGAGGUGCUCUACCAACUGAGCUAUAGCCCUUGUGUUUGUGAUACAUAUUUUAUCAUAUUAUGUAGAUAAUUUCUUGCCAAGAUGAAUAUUACAUGAUCCAACAUCAUAAUCAUACCCUAUUGGUCGGUUUGAUUGGUAUUGCUUAGAAGUAAUAUUGGAUUUAUAAUCCAUCGAUGUAAUAUGUCCCUUUUCUUUCUCUUUAUGAUUCCUUAUGAUAAUAAAUGACCUACUUAACUCGCGGUUAGAGUAUUGCUUUCAUACGGCGGGAGUCAUUGGUUCAAAUCCAAUAGUAGGUAGAACUUAUUAGAUACCAUCGAUCCUGAUGUCUUAUAAGUUUUUCUACCCAUAUUCUUUUAUUGAUUUUCUAUCUUUUUCAUCCUAUUCUGUUUUCGUUUUCAAUUUUCAAAUUUUUUGUUAGAUCAAAAUUUGAUUUCACUUUUGAUUAUAUUUGAUUCUAUUUAAUCGACAGAAUCAAAAUUAGAUGUAUAAACGAAAGUUUUGUUUCUACUAAAAUUAUUUCGAUUAACCAACUCGUUACGAAAUCACGUUGGUAGCCUCGACUCAUGUCUUAGCCCAUUUGAGAGCUAGAUUUGUCUCAAUUUUUUGCCUAUUGCCUUCAGCUUUCGUCAAGUUAGCUUUUGCUAUUUCAAGAGCUUGCUGAGCUUCUUGGGGAUCAAUGUCACUACCCUUCUCCGCAUCAUUUACUAAAAUAGUAAUUUCAUUGUUGCCUAUUCUAGCAAAACUACCCAUCAGAGCCAUCGUUAACCAUUGGUCGUUAAGGCGUAUUCUCAAAAUACCUAUAUCUACAACUGUGGCAAUAGGCACGUGAUUUGGUAAUACGCCAAUUUGUCCGCUAUUAGUAGAUAAAAUGAUUUCUUUCACUUCUCAAUCCCAAACAAUUCGAUUAAGGGUAAGUACGCAAAAAUUUUAGGUCAUUUCUUCAAUUUUCUCUCCAUUUCUAAGUUCGUAGCCUUCGCAGUAGCUUCGUCAAUGUUACCUAUCGAAUAAAAGAUCUGUUCAGGAAGACCAUCUAAUUCUCCAGAAAGUAUCAAUUUAAAUCCUCUAAUUGUUUCUGCUAGACCAACAUAUUUCCCCGGGGUACCGGUAAAUACUUUCGCUACAAAAAAGGGUUGUGAUAAGAAACACUCAAAUUUUUGCACUCUUGCUAUGGUUAAACGAUCCUCUUCGGAUAAUUUGUCCAACCCAAGGAUAGCUAUAAUGUCCUGAAGUUCUUUAUAACGCUGUAAGGUUUGCUUAACCCUUGGUACAGUUUCAUAAUGUUCCUCACUAACGAUUCGAGGUUGAGGCAUAGUGGAUGUUGAGUCUAAAGGAUCUACCGUUGGAUAAAUACCUUUGGCAGCUAAUCCUAUUGAUAGUACGGUAGUAGGAUUUAAAUGCGCAAAUGUUGUAGCAGAGGCAAGGUCGGUCAAAUCAUCCGCAGGUACAUAACCUGCUUGAAUAGAAGUUAUGGAUCUCUCAUUUGUAGAAGUAAUUCUUUCUUGUAAAGUACUCAUUUCGGUACUAAUGGUGAGUUGAUAACCCACAGCGGAAGGCAUUCUACCCAAUAAGGCAGGUACUUCGGAUCCCGCUUGGACAAAACGGAAGAUAUUGUUUAUAAAUAGAAGUACGUCUUAUUCAUUAACAGCUCAGAAAUAUUCUGCCAUAGUUAGGGCAGUCAAUCAAACUCUCAUACGAGCUCCUGGCAGUUCAUUCAUCUGACCGUAGACUAAAGCCACUUUUGAUUCUGUGAGAUUUUGUUCAUUAAUUACUCUAGAUUCUUUCAUUUCCAUGUAAAGAUAAUUUCCUUCACGAGUCCGUUCACCUAAUCCGCCAAAUAUGGAUAUGCCCCCAUGAGCUUUGGCAAUGUUGUUGAUCAAUUCCAUAAUGAGUACUGUUUUACCUACCCCAGCCCUCCAAAUAGUCCGAUUUUUCCUCCACGACGAUAAGGAGCUAAAAGAUCGACUACUUUAAUUCCUAUUUCAAAAAUAGAUAAUUUUGUAUCUAAUUGUAUGAAAGCGGGCGCGAAUUUAUUAAUAGGUGAUGUUGUGCCAGUAUCUACAGGACAUAAAUUAUCAACGGGCUCCCCAAGCACGUUAAAAAUUCUUCCUAGGGUCGCUCCACCGACUGGAACACUUAGAGUAGCUCCUGUGUCAAUCACUUCCAUUCCUCUUGUUAGACCAUCUGUAGCACUCAUAGCUACAACUCUAACUCGAUUAUUUCCUAAUAAUUGUUGUACCUCACAAGUUACAUUAAUUUGUUGACCGGCGGUAUCUCGACCCUUAACUACUAGGGCGUUGUAAAUAUUAGGCAUCUUGCUCGGAGGAAAGGCUACAUCCAGUACUGGACCGAUGAUUUGAGAAAUAUGCCCUAGGUUUUCUUUUUCAAGCGUGGAAACUCCAGGAACAGAAGUAGUAGGAUUUAUUUUCAUAAUAAAGUGAAAUAUGUCAAUUUGUUUUUCCAAAAUUAUCUAAUACAAAAUAAAUCUUUGACAGGAGGUUGAUCGAUUAAUUCAAUAAGAAAUGGGGUUCGCGCUUGAUUUCGUUGGUCCCAUCCAAUUCAAGUGCAUGCAAUUGGAUUGUUUCCUUAUUCAAUGAAGGAAUUUUUAAGUUCAACCAACCUAUUUUCAAAAUAGGAAGUGGAUAAAUAAAAAUUUUGGGAGAGUCUUUCAUUUGUCCAUCAUUAUAGGCAACACCAUCUAUAUUAUCUAUGGAAUUCGAACCCAAACUCUAUUUAUGAUUCAUUAUUUCUAUCUCAUUAGCCUUGUUUAAAUUUCAUUUCGUAUUUAUUUUAGCAUAUUGGUUUUUUUUUACUUUACGUCCAACCUCUCCCCCUUUUUCCAUCUAUAUUCUCUCUUUUUUUCAUUUCAGGGUUGAAUUACGCCUGUUUUCACAUCUAGGAUUUACAUAUACAACAUAUAUUACUAUCAAGGGUGAAUUUCUUAUUUCUUAUUAUUGAGGUUAUAAUAUAUAAUAUAUAAUUUAUAUUAGAUGUUAGAAUAUUAAUUCUAUUAUAUAUUUAUCUAUUCUAUUAUAUAUAUUCUAAUAUAUAUUAGUAUUAUAAUUUAUUUAUAUAUUUAUUAAUUUAUUUAUAAUAUAUUCACAUCACACAAGAUAUAAACAUAUCAUUCAACCAUAGUCGCAAACUAGUACAUUGAAACAUAAAUAUUUUUGGAAAUAAUCACAUAAUAAACCAUUUCACUAAAGAUUUCAUAAUUUAAACCUUACCACCCAUUUCAUGAUCACAAUAUUUAUUCAUAUAUCAAACUUUCCAACAUGUGUUAAUUCAAUACCCAUUCACGACAUUACUUCAUGCCAAAUCAUAUAUCAAAAAUACAAUACACACGUACUAUAAACUUUAUUUUCCCACAUGAGCUUAAACCAUGACCAAUACUGCACAAAUAUAUGCAUCAUUUCUAUUUCAUCGUUUAUCAAUUAUAAUUAAGCAUAUGACCAAUUAUACACAAAUCAUUCAUAUAUUUUCCAAUUUUUCCUCCUCCUCCUCUCCAUUCCACAUCCUUAAUGUGUAUAACACACUUAAACAACACUAGCUAUAAUUUCACUAUUCACUCACAUGUAUAUUCAAAGCUAUUUAUCCGAGUCAGAGUCACUAAAUUAUUUUUAUCCGGAGAUACAGAGCUCCAAAUUAAGAUCCGUUAAUUUUCCUUGAAACUAGACUCACAUAACUUCUUACAAUAAAAUUUUUAGAAUUUUUGGUUUAGCCAAAUAGUACAGUUUAUUCUUUAAAGUUUCUCCUGUUUCGCUGUUUGACAGUUCUGACCACUCUUCACUAAAAAUGAAUUAUCUAAUUGUACAGAAUUCGGAUGAUGUUUCUGUUUAUUUCCUUUGAAAAUAGACUCAUUAAGUAUUCUAAUCAUAUAAAUUAUAACUCAUAAUUAUUUUUAUUCAAUUUUUGAUGAUUUUCCAAAGUCAAAACAGGGGAACCCGAAAUCAUUCUGACAUUGUCUCACAAAAUUUAUUAUAUCUCAUGAUUUACAAUUUCAUUGCUUACACCGUUUCUUCUAUGAGAAACUAGACUCAAUGAGCUUUAAUUUCAUAUUUUAUUAACCCUCUAAUUCAAUUCCCAAAAUUUUUUUCUGAUUUUUCAAAGUUAUACUACUGCUGCUGUCCAAAACUGCUUUAGUGCAAAAUGUUGAUUUCCUUUUUGCCCCAAAUUUCACAGUUUAUACAAUUCGGUCCUUUCUCAAUUAACCCCUUAAUUAAUUUAAUUUUCUCAAUUAAUACUUUACCUAGACAUUAUAAGUUGUUUCAAAACUAUUAAAAUUCAUAAUUUCCACAUAUAACUCUAUCUUCAAACUCUUUUACUAUUAGGUCCCAAACAUUCACUUUCUAUUCAAUUCUUUCAAUAAAAUCAGCAUAUGAACAAUUUAAAGCUCUAAUUCCAUGCUAAAUAAUCAUAUACUUCCAGCAUGUAUUCAUAGCAACUUUCAACUUCUUUCAUAGAAUCAAAAACUAAUGAAUACAAUAAGUGGGCCCAGUUGUAAAAGUCACAAAAAUACAAAAUUUUCAAGAAAUAAUCAAGAAUUGAACUUAUUUGCAGUAAAAAUAGGAAGAAACAGCUUAAGGAAACCCUUCUAUGGUGUUUUUGAUGAUGAGAAUGCAGAAAAAUAAAGAGAAAUCUAGAUAAUUCCACUUUGGUCCUAACUUUAUUAAGUAAUUUUGCAAUAUUCCAAUUUUGCCCUUAAUUCUCGUUACUUUGUUGCUGAUUUCAUGCCUUUGCCGUCCAGCCCAAAUAGACCUUGGGUCUAUUUUCCUUUUAAGCCCUCUUCCUUUUAUCAUUUAAGCUAUUUAAUCAUUUCCCAUAAUUUUGCAUUUGUUACAAUUUAGUCCUUUUUGUUCAAUUAAUUAUCAGAACUUUAAAAUUUCUUAACAAAACUUUAAUACUAACUUUUUAACACUACAUUAAUAUUUAUAAAAAUAUUUAUGGCUCGUUUUAACAUCCCCGAGGUCUCGAUACCUCAUUUCGAUUCUAAUUAUUUUAAUAUUUAUUUCUAGUGUACUAUUCACUAUUUCAAAAAUUUUCCUAACUUCACAUUUAACUUAUAGUCACUAAAUUAAUAAUAUUUUCUACCCGUUUGUCAAAUUUAGUGAUCUCGAAUCACCGUUCCGACACCUCUGAAAAUUCAGGCCAUUACAUUUUUCCUCGUCGGAUUUGUGGUCCCAAAACCACUGUUCCGACUAGACCCAAAAUCGGGCUGUUACAGAGCAAGAUAGAUAAAUUGGAAAAAAAGUUCAAAUUGAGUAGAAUGCAGGGUUGAGUACUUUCGUUCAGUGAUAAAGACGAAUUGACAGAAAAUACCAUGGAUGGGCCAUGGCAAUAAGUGAUAUGUAAUUCCGUGUAAGACCAUAGCUGGGCUAUGACAUCGGUAUAUGUUAUGUGAUUACGUGUAAGACCAUAGCUGGACUAUGGCAUCGAAAAAAUAAAGUACUCAAUUCCAUAAGAUGUUCACUAAUUUGACAAAGUUGGUAAGUGUUACAUGGACUCACACUCAAGUGAUAGAUUUAUUGUGAUUAUUGAAGUUGAAUUCAAUUAAGUGAUUUAACCAAUUGGAUAUUAUAUAUGGCAAGAUGUGUUAGUGAAUUACAUAUUUAUGAAAUGAUAUUUGAAGUUCAGUAAGUGAUAUAUGAAAUUAAUAUGAAAAGAUUUAUGAUUGUUAUUAGUAUUGUUUCUGACAUAAUGUGGAUUCUUCGAUUUUGAAAUUAUUUAACGGAUUUAUUGAGCACAUGAAUGAGUAUGAGACUCAUACGAGUUAGUAUAGAUAUGUACAUGUGUCUUAUAGGCUUUGAAUGAUAAGACUUGUGAAUUGUGAAUUAAUCUAUGUGAAAGUAUAUGGGAUAGAUUAGCGAAUAUUUACAUGAUAUUGAAUAUUUAAUAUAUUACAAUGGUUUAAUAGGAAAAAUAUGACGAUACGAGAAUAUGAAAUGAUACGGAUCAAUUCAGGUACUCGCGAGAAGCAAGUAAUAAUUGAUAAAUUCAUAUGACGAGAAGUGAAGGAUUAUAAGUUCAUAUAUGGCUAUGAAAUGAACAAAUGGUGAUAGCUAUAAGGCUUGGAUCGAAUGAGUAGAUAUAUAUUGGGCCUUGUAAGUGCUAAUUAGCGAUUCGAAGAUAAUAAUUUGAAAGUUUUAAUCUGUAUAAAAUUUUAUAACUCAGUUUAAUAUGUUUAUAAAUGUAUGUGUUUUGGUAAUGCCUCGUACCCUAUCCCGGCGUAGAAUACAGGUAAGGGGUGUUACAAUAUGACAUCGCAAGAUUUGGCCAUAACGUUUAGGUCGGGUUUGGGGUGUUACACAUCCUGUAUGUUGUCCUUUUGCCCCCGUGUUGGAAUAGAAACUUAUUGUAUUGUAUUAGUAGACGAGAUUUUAUGAAAAAGGUUCUUGAUAGAAGGAAAUUUUCUUUUUUCCAUUUUUUCCGUGCGGAUUUUACACAACAUGGGGAAAUCACUAUUUAUAAUUGAAAAUUGAUAUUUCUAAUUCAAAAGAAAAAAGAGCUUUAUCAUAUAUAAUGAACUACUACUCCAGGUUCUCACAAAAGAGAAUUGUUUCUUUCAAUAUUCACUCGUUGUUCGUUAAUAACCCUAGUGAUUGUAUCUAGUAUGCAUAUUCUGAUAGGAAAUAAAAUAUUCAAUUGAUUUUUCAUCGAAUGACUAUUCAUCUACUGUACUUUCAUGGAAAUAAAGGCAAGAAAGCUCUAUUGAAAAAUCACAGUUCAAUUUGAUCUUGUCUAAGGGAGAAUUAGAAUACAGAUGUGGGCUAAGUAAAUCAAUGGAUAGCCGCCUUGGUUCCACUGAAAAUACUAUUGUAAAUGAAGACCUGACUAGAAAUGAUACGGAUAAAAACAUUCAUGAUUGUAGUGACGGCUCUAGUUAUUACAGUAAGGUUGAUUAUUUAGUUGACGUCAAAGACAUUCGAAAUUUCAUUUCUGAUGACACCUUUUUAAUUAGGGAUAGUAAUUAGGACCGUUAUUCCAUAUAUUUUGAUAGUGAAAAUCAAAAUUUUGAGCUUAACAAUGAUCAUUCUUUUUUGAGUGAACUAGAAAGUUUUUUUUUAUAGUUAUCAUAAUUCUAGUUAUAUGAAUAAUGGAUCGAAAAAUGAUGAGCCCCACUAUCAUUUUAACUUGUAUGAUAAUGAUACUAACUAUGGUUGGAAUAAUCACAUUAAUAGUUGUAUUGACUCUUAUCUUCGUUCUCAAAUCUGUAUUGAUAGUUCCAUUUUAAGUGGUAGUGAUAAUUCCAAUGAUAAUUAUAUUUAUAAUUACAUUUGCGGCGAAGCUGGAAAUAGUGGUGAAGGCAAGAAUUUCGAUAUAAUAACUCGUGAAAAUGGUAAUGAUUUAACUCUAAAAGAAAGUUCUAAUGAUGUCGAUCUAUACAAGGAUUUGUGGGUUCAAUGCGAAUGCGAAAAUUGUUAUGGAGUAAAUUAUAAGAAAUCGCUUAAUUCAAAAAUGAAUAUUUAUGAACAAUGUGGAUAUCAUUUGAAAAUGAGGAGUUCAGAUAGAAUCGCACUUUCGAUUGAUCCAGGCAUUUGGGGUCCUAUGGAUGAAGACAUGAUCUCUCUGGAUCCCAUUGAAUUUCAGUCUGAAGAAGAGCUUUAUAAAUAUCGUAUUGAUUUUUAUCAAAGAAAGACAAGAUUAACUGAGGCUAUUCAAAUAGGCACGGGUCAACUAAACGGUAUUCCUAUAGCAAUCGGGGUUAUGGAUUUUCAGUUUAUGGGGGGAGUAUGGGAUCCGUAGUAGGCGAGAAAAUCACCCGUUUGAUCGAAUAUGCUACCAAUAAUUUUUUACCUCUUAUUCUAGUGUGUGCUUCUAGAGGAGCAAGCAUGCAAGAAGGAUGUUUGAGCUUGAUGCAAAUGGCUAAAAUAUCUUCCACUUUAUAUGAUUAUCAAUCAAAUAAAAAGUUAUUUUAUGUAUCAAUUCUUACAUCUCCUACUACUGGUGGAGUGACUGCGAGUUUUGGUAUGUUGGGGGAUAUCAUUAUUGCUAAACCCAAUGCCUAUAUAGCAUUUGCGGGUAAAAGAUUAAUUGAGCAAACAUUGAAUAAAACAAUACCAGAAGGUUCACAGGCGGCUGAAUAUUUAUUCCAUAAGGGUUUAUUUGAUCCAAUCGUACCAUGUAAUCCUUUAAAAGGUGUUUUGAGUGAGUUAGUUUAGCUCUACGAUUUUUUUCCUUUGAAUCAAAAUUCAAUCAAGUAGAGUCUUAAGUGAAAUUUUUUAUUUGUAGUGAAAAGGUAGUUAGUUAGUUUAUCAGAAUCAAAGUCAAAGCCCACGUAGUGGGCUUUGACUUUGUGACAAAAAAAGGAAUUAUUGAAAAACAAAUUAUGUGGAUAAUUAUUAUUAUCAUUAUUCGAUACUACUAAUGAGUAAACCUCUAGCAACAAGAUAAAAAGUGAAAUUUUCAUUCCGUGAAAUGAAAUUCGAAUUUGGAGAGACAAAUAAAACAAAUUUUAUCUUCCUCUAUUGCGUAUGUAUAUAUAAUUUAAAUAGAGAAAAAAAUAGAAUAGAAAUAUAGAGUUUUGCAUCUUUCUAUAUCUCCCGAAAAUUCUAUUUUUACUAAUAAUCCCUGUUCUUGGAUCGGAUUCUAACGAAAUCGAAUCUUUCGAUAAUUUGUAAUAAAUUCUUUCUUUAUUAAAUUCAAAAAUUUAAAUUAGAAGACAAGAACAAUAGAAUAACAAGAAAAGUAAGAAUAAAGUAAGAUAAUAAAGAAAGUGGAUUAUCUUAUCAUAUACACCUAUUUUAUUUGAUUUAAAAAGAUGGGAAAGUCCUCUAAUUUAAUUCUAGAUUCCUUGCACUUAUUAGAUAUCUAUUAGAUAUAUGGACUCGCUUCGAUAUACUUAGUAUUUAGAUAUAAUUAGUAUAAUAUAAGAAUUAUAAUAUAAUCGUUAUAAGAUAUAUUUCUAACUAAACAAUAUAACAAUAACAGGUACAAAUAUUAAAUUGAGGUACCCAUUUUAUCACAACUUUCAGCAGUUUUCUCUCUAUUUUUGUGCCUUUAGUAGGCUUAGUAUUUUCCGACAAUUGCAAUGGCUUCUUUAUCUUUGUAUGUUCAAAAAACUAAGAUUUUUUAGAUUCGAUGUGGCCAAGACCAAAUCUUAUCAAUUUUUUUCAAGACUUAGAUGUCAUAGAUACCUAUUUAGUAGAAUAUUGUAUAACAUCCGGCUUACCUGAACCAAACAUAAAUGAAAAAGCCCCUCUUAUGCAUACGUAAACAUGAUAUAGGGUUAAAUGAAUUAUAGCAAGUGGAUCGGUACCGAACGAAUGUAUGAAAUUAAAGUCUAUAUAUCUAGUAGGUCCGUAUAUGUGAUUAUAUAAAGGGGAUGAUUUUAGAUCGAAGCAAUUUGAUGAAUUCCUUCAAAAAGUUCAUAUCAAAAUAAUCCUAGUUGAUGAGAGUUACUUCGAAAAUAAAAAAAAUAAAGUCAAAUUUUUUUAUUGUUCUCUCAAUUCGAAUAAAGUGCAAUUGAAUCUAGUAUGUAUGAGUUGAUGAUAUUAAAACACGUCAUUCUCUUAUGUAUGAGUGGAGAAUCUCUACAUGUUUUCAUGGAUUCCACUAUUGAGAGGGGGAGAAAGCACAAAUAUAUAUAUUUCAUCAUAUUAAAUAAAAAAGAAACGAGGGAAAUAAGCCACGUCAUCUAGGUAAUGACAUAAUGUAAGUAUGAUGACACCGUGUUACGUUACCUCUAACAUUUUUCGUUUCUAUUUUCCAUCCACUCAAUAAUAGGUGGCUGCCGUCGCUACACGAGGGAAAAGGGAAGACCAAAAAAAAAAAACCCUAAUUGGCGGAGAAAGAACGACGGAGAGGAAGAGCCGCGGUGGCAGAAAAUAAAACUAUAUGGCCGCCCCUCUUUCCUCUCAUUUCCGUCCCCUUUGCUUCUCUUCCCAAUCAUGUUCGAUUCCAAAGCCCAAUCUCUUUCCUUCCUCUCUCUCCUUCCCUCCUCUUCGCUCCCUCUCCCCUUCGAACGCUAAAAAAUUCUCCAAAUCCCCUCUCCUCGCUUUCUCUUCCUCUAAUUUUGAUGCCUCUCAUUUCAAUGAUGGCUUCGGUCCCAAUCCUACCCCAUCUAAGGUAGGCUUUUCAGAACCAGUUUCAGUUUGGUUUAAUUAGGCCCUAGUCCCUUUACUCUUCGGACUUUUAAAAUUGAGUUCCUCUCUGUUUUUAUUUUAGGAAUUUAGUCCUCUACUUGGCUGAUUUGAAAAUUAAACUCCAAUUGAUGACAUUGGUAAUGGGUUUUCGUUAAAUUUGAAUAUGUUAUAUUUUAAUAUUCAAAAUUUUGGCUUAAACAAUUAAAGUUGAAUUGCUAAGACAUAGUAACCAAUUGAACAUCUGGACUGAGUUCGAAUCUUGAAGUCAUCUGGGAAGCUUGAUUAGAUUAGACUUAGAGAAUAAAAUGGAUGAGGACGCGUAUGAUUAUAAAAAAAAAUGAUAGCACAGUCAAAUUUAACAGAAAUCACUUAAUAGUGUUAUGAGUUGGACUUUAAUUUUUCAAUAAGAGAAGUUGAGGAUUAAAUUCCUGGAAUUAAAUGCAGAGGACUAAUUCAAAUAUACUAAGAGUACAGGGAUUGGUACAUAAUCAGAUCUUUCAAUUUUGGAAAGUUACCCUUUUUUUAUAGUUUGCUAAAGUUAGAUUGGGUUUGCUCAUUUCUGGUUUAAAAAUUGACUUUUAGCAAUGUUCUUUCAGAAAUCUGUCCUUACCAAUCUGAUACAGGAGAUUGAACCACUGGAUGUUAGCCUUAUUCAAAAAGAUGUCCCCCCCACAACUGUGGAUGCCAUGAAAAGGACUAUCUCGGGAAUGUUGGGUUUACUUCCAUCUGAUAGGUUUCAAGUCUUUAUCGAGGCACUAUGGGAACCUCUCUCCAAAUUGUUGGUUUCUUCUAUGAUGACUGGGUAAUGUUCAUAUGUUCUGCAUAAGGUGCUCCAUGUUACUAGAUGUUGCUAUAUUUGUGUUGGUUGCUAAGAGGACGAAACCUUGGCUAGGGCCUAUAAAUUCCUCUGCUUGUUGUAGUUUCAAUACUUGUUGGCUUUGUUAAUGGUAAUCAGGUGUGUCAAAUAUGGGUAUGUGCUAAACUCUGGUAUAUUCAUUGUUGAGAAGUUUUUCCAUGUAUUUGGAGGGUCAUUGGUGUCACAUACAAUAUAUACUUUAAGAAAAGUUAAAACUUGGAGAAACAUAGGUUGGUAGACAUAACCUUUUUAGCUUUGCAUAUUGACCACAGUAUAUUUUUUCUCUCCCCUCUUUUGGGCAGAAAAUGUUGAUAUCCUAUUAACAUUUGUUUCAGAGAAGUGCCAAAUCUUAAGCUCAUUUAGAUUAUGCCAAAAUUGGCUCAAUAUAUAUUUGUUUGGCACCACUGGAACUUAAAAGCUGAAUCCUAACGGUUUUUUUAUCUCCUCUGUGCAUACAUUUCUGAUUUACAUCCCAUCUCUUAAUGUGGUACAAUCACUUUAACAUGUGAAUCUUAAGAAUAUUUGUUUUUAAUAUUUAUACUAAGAUCAUAAGUUUAAUUGUUUGAUGUACCAUGAGACAUGCAAAGUAGCAUUUACCUCCAAUAUAGAUGUCUGUCAGAUAUGGGGAUUAUCAGGAAUAAUAGUUCUUCUUUUGAAUUGCAGUUAUACAUUGAGAAAUGCUGAAUAUAGGCUUUGCCUUGAACGGAACCUUGGUUGUGAAGGAGAUUUGGAAAAUCAAACUUCAGAAAAGUCAAACUUUGAUUUACAAGAGAUGUUAUUGGACAGUACAAAAAUAAAUGAAUUUUCAGAGAAAAAUGAUUUGUCCUCUGAAUCUGAAAAAACCAUUGAAGACCAAUUUGAAGAUAUUGACUUUCAAGGCCUGGGUGAAAUGCCCCUGGAAGCUCGUAAAUACAUUCUUCAUUUGAAGGCUCGACUAACUUCAGUGAAAAAGGUAUGCUACAGCAUAUUGAGGAGCCUCCCAUGGUCUGUUUUUUCCUGUAAAUUGAACUGUUCAACUUGAUGCAUUGCCUAGAAAGUUACCUUUUAUGUUUUAUGUGUGAGUUUGCUUAAUUAGAGACACAUCAUAGUUUGCUUCAGUUAAAAGUACUCAAAAGAUGCUAGGAAGGCCUAAAAGAUGCCAUUGUCUCUUAUUGGCUGUGCCUUAAACAAAGUGAACACUAUCUGACCCUUUUUAUAUGGUAUCCGUAUUUCUGAUACCUAGUAAACAUUCUCCCUUGAAAGCCUAUGUUUUUCAUUUGAGAUAGGAUAUUAAGCUAACUUAUACAUUCCAAAUUGUUUGUAAUAGCACUAUGGAAGAAUUUAGACAUGCCAACCUGAUUAACUGAAUAGAUCACUCAAUGGAAACAUACAAGGGAACAGAAAAUUUAAGAUAUUAAAUAUAUCUUUCUUCAUAAUUUUAUCUUUUGAGAGUUAACCCCCAUGGAAGUAUUGGUAGGUGAAUUCUGGCUUACCGAAAUCUACAUUGCAUGAGUGGCAAUUCCCAUGGUUGGUCAGGAUCUGAUAUUAACGAUUGCUUCAUACAUCCAUGCUAUGUUAGAACAUUGAACCUUCUCAGAUUGUUGAAUAUCUCAUUUUCCUUUUCAUCUAUCUUUACAUAUAUAUUCAUUUCACAAUUUCUUCAAAUCCUUUUCUGCAAAUUGGUGGGGUACAUGCUCAUGUUUCCAUUUUUUGCUCUAUUGAAGGAACUUCAUGAAGUAAAGAGGAAAAAUGCUGCUCUACAAAUGCAACAGUUUGUUGGGGAAGAAAAGAAUGAUUUACUUGACUACUUAAGAUCACUUCAACCAGAAAAGGUUAUCCUUGGUCUCAAAACCCUCUAAAGCAAAUUAAUCUAGUAAUAUCCCAUAAACACGAUGCUAUGGGUUUGAUAUCUGAAAGGAAUAUACUAUUUGAUUUUUUUGCUUUUUUCCCCAUUCACAUGAAGGCAAGAUUGAACUAAUUAAAAGGAGUUUUUUGCAAUUUCGCGAUUUGUGUCCCGCUCCCGCCCCCCUUCUUUCCCCUCGGGUUGUAUAGGAAGGAGGGUUUUAUAUUGCCGUGGCUAAUAAGGUUGUAACAUAAUCUCAGGUAGCUGAACUUUCUGAACCAACAUCUCCUGAACUGAAGGAAACAAUCCACUCUGUAGUCCAUGGUCUCCUUGCCACUCUUUCUCCGAGGAUGCAUUCCAAGGUUCCUCCUUUGUCAGAGAACACCACAACUGGAACUCUAAACAUUGGGAGUGAAGACUGUGCAGAACUUGUUGAGAAUACUUCACUUCAAUUCCAGCCCUUCAUUUCAUUAACGCGGGACUAUCUUGCUCGUCUUCUUUUCUGGUUAGUCCACCUCCCCCCCCCCUCUUUCAAACACACGCUACUCUUAUUUCUUUUAGAUCACUUUGACCCAAGAAGCUUAUGUAUAAUUAAAAAAAUAUAAAAUAAAAUGAAAUCUGGUUUUUCAGAAGUUUAACUGGAUAUCUGCAUUUCUAUGUACUUAUUUGCUCACCAUAUGGUACAAUCCUGUUUAAAUUUGAACGUAUUAUUUGUGUUUGACCACUACACUUUGUAAGAAAGAAAGAUGACCGUAUGGAGAUCUGAGAGAUUUUCUUGUGUUUAAACUUCAAAUAAGCUUCAGUCACUCCGUCUAAGAUUCAAAGAAUUUUUCUGAACCCCAUCACCGUAUUAUAAUAUAGCUGAGUUCUAAUAUUCUCAUAUCUGUCCUGAAGGUGCAUGCUGUUGGGGCACUACCUUAGAGGCCUCGAGUAUCGGUUGGAGCUAAUGGAGCUUCUGUCGUUGACAAGCAGUCCCGGCAAUAAUAGUUGUGGUGAUGAGCAGGUUGUUUAGAGUUGCUCUCUGAUUCCAGUGCUACAUGUGUGUAAAUUGGCAUAUCGACUAACUUCUUUUACAGGAAGAGGUAAGAAUCGGACAAGAUUAGGCCCUUCACUCUCUUGCAGAUGGCGAAUUGUUUUUAUGUAUAAAAACGAUACAUUGUUUUUUGUCAGUGUGGAGUUUAGCGUUGGUAUGUUAAUGUUUUUUACCCAGAAAUAGAGAAACCUUGUUGAUAAUGCUCAUUAUUAGUUGCAUUAAGGUUUGCUUUGAACCAUCUUGAAUGUCAUUGUUGCAAGCCUAAACUAAUAAAAAGGAAGUUGAACUGUCGCUUUAUAUUAUCCCUUAAUUAUUUCUUUAAUUUUUUUGAUUUCUUCAGUGUCUACUUUCAGAUUUUUUGUGAAAAUCUUCUUUGAACGAUAAAUUUGACCGAACUGUUAAAAUUUUAGUGGUACUACGUUUUUAAAAGUUUUAAAUUUUGAAAAUUUUUAUUAAUUUUAUCAUAACUUUUCUGAAGAAAAAUAAUUUGAUUAAAAUUUGAAUUUUGAUGGUGAAAAUGAUAAAAAUGAAAGAAUAAGUGUUAAAUUUGUGAUUAAGCUAUGAAAAAGCCAUUAUACAUUUUUGAGUUGAUCAAUUUUGACAAAAAAAUACUUAUGAUUUCCAUGACUGGAUUGAGAUUCCUAAAUGAAAAAAUAGGACUUAAUUUUUAAUUUUUUAAGUGUAUGAGCCAAAUCUCAAAUUUGGUCAAAGUACAAGUACUAACAAUAUAUUUUAACCUAAUUUAAAAUAAUCUAAAGAUAACAUUUAAUUAGAAAGUAUCUUUAAUUCUUUUUAUUUUAAAAGACGAGUUAACUAUAAUAAAAACUAGUAAAACUAUUGUUUUAUAAAAGUAUAAACUUAUUUUAUAUAUUUUUAUUUUCAAUAUUUCUUUCAUUAAAUAAAAAUUUCAGGUUAAUAUAUAAAUUUGAAAAGAUUAACUUACUUUUAACUACUAAAAUAAAAUAUUUGAAAGGAUAUUUUUCUUGUUAAAUUUUGUUUUGAAAUUAUCAAAAUUAACACUAGCGGUCAAAUUUUAAUUAGAAUAAUAAAAAUAAUAAUAAAUUUAAAUAAAAUUCAAAGUUUAGCAGCAAAAUUUAAUAACAUAAAAAUUGAUUGGUAAAUUUAUUUAUAUUCCCGAAAUAUGAUAGGAAACAUCAAUUAAAAUAAAGUAUAGUGACAAGUUUUAACAUUCAUCAAUAAUAUGGUAACAAUUUUACACUUUAAAUUAACUUUUAAAGUUUUUAUCAAACAUCAGUUUAGAACGGAUUUGAACCAUGUUAUCUCAUCCCAACUCUUAAUAUUAUAUAAAAAACUUAUAAUUAAAUAAGGUUGACUUUUGAAUAUUUACUUAAAUGAACCCUUAAGAUAAAUCAAUCUUCCAAAGUAAGGGCUUACCAAGAGGAUUAGGGUUUAUUUAGGAGUAAAAAUAGAAUAGAGCUUAUUCAAUAAAACAUUAUAUAUCAGUUUUUUUCUUUAUCUAAACCAAAGAUUAGUCUAAUUUAUCUAAUAUUGGAAAGGGUUUGAAAAAAAAAUAGAGAAAUUGAGACCCAUUUUAAAGUGGGUUGGAUUUCGAUUUCAAGCCAUGAAAGAUUCAAAAUAGUUAUAUCUAUUUUAUCUAAUAUUGGAAAGGGUUUGAGUAUUUUUCAUAUCUGUUUUACUGUUUAAAUUCGGGUUCGUGGGUGUUUCUCUUAACAAUGUCAUCUUUAAAGUUCAAACUUGUGUUCUCCUUUUGAAAGUACAAUGUGCCUUACUAUUACACUCAACCGCUUGUUGGUAGUUAUAUCUAUUCUUUAAUCAUGUAAAUUAUGAUUUUAUAUAAUAUAAAGAUUAAAUAUAUAAUAUCAAAGUGUAAAUGUUAAAAAAUAUGAUGAUUUGCUUAUGUUUAGAUCUGUUUAUGGGCUGGGUCGAUACAAAAUAUUAGGCUCAUAUUAUUGAUUUGGGUUCAGCUCAACGCGAAAAAUGGGCCUAAAGUUCUGCCCAAGCUUGGCCCUGAUUAAAAAUGCUAAACUGAGCUCGACCCGAUCCGCUUGUAUUAAUUUUUUUAAAAUUAUUAUUUUUAUAUAAAAAUAAAUUUAAAAAUAUAAUACAUCGAAUACACUAAAUAUAUUAAAAUAAAUGUUCUCGACAAAUUGAAAAUAUAUUAAAAAAUCUUUAUACUUAAAUAACGCUAAGAUAGUUGCAACUUAGCAAACAAAUGCCUAUUAAAUUGUAGCAAAAUUAACAAUAAAACAAGAGUUGUACAAUAUCCAAAUAAUAACAAUAAAAUCAUAGCAAUAUAAUAGCGAAAUUGUAGCAAAAUAGCAACAAAAUGACAACAAAAAGGAAAGUUUAGGCUAAUUCGGAUUGAAUUGAGUCGGGCCUAGGCAAAAAAUCCUACCCAAGGCCUAGCCAUUUUAGAAAACGAACCUUAUUUUUUUGUCUAAGUCUAUUUUUCGGGCCUAUAUUUUUAUCCAAAUCCUCUCACUUUUCGGACAGGCCUUCAGGUCUAGACGGGUGACCCAACCCAUGAUUAGGUCUACUUAUGUUUAAGAAUUAAUGAAAGACUUUUUUUUAUAAAAAUUUAAAAAUAAUAUAUAUUUUUUAUAAAGUUACUGAUAUAGUGACAAAUAAUUUGUAUUGAAAUCAAGCUUAAAGUUGGCAUCAAAUUUAGAGUUCAAAUUCUAAAUCAUCAAUGAUUCGAACCCUAGACCUAAUGUCAGUUGUAAACAUAACUUUAACACAAAUUUUUUGUCACUACACCAAUGACUUAAUUGGUACAUGUGAGAAUAAAUAUUAAAUUUAUAUUUAGAAUUGAGUUUUUACCUAAUUGGGCUUGACUAGUGACCAUGGGCCUUUUCUUCACCAAUGUUAAUCUAAGACUAAAAAGACCAUAAUAAUGGAGAUAAUUAUUUGUGGGUUGAGGUGCUUUUAGAAGAUGAAGUCUUGACAAAUAAAAAACAAGCAGGUUUAGAUGAUUUAUCUGUAUAUAUAAAUAAGUUUUGGUAACAUUAAAAUUCAUAUUUUAAUUCAAUUGAGUUUACAUAAAUAUACGUAAUAUCAUAAAUAUAUUCUAUGAUUCAUGUUAAUAAUAUUUAAUAUUUAAGUAAGGAUGACAAAAUUUAUGUUAUUUGAUGGAUUUUUAUCUGAUUUUCUUGAAUAGAGAAAUAUUUUUUUCAACUUGAGUAGCAAAGACAAGAUGUAAUAUGUAAUUAUAUAUUAUACAAUAAAUUUAAAAAUAUUUAAGUUAGAUAUUCAUAGAUUAUCUUUUUACGUUUAUAUGUUAACUACACAUUGACCUUAUUAGAAAUUAGAAACUUCAUCGCACAUGUAUGUGUCACGGGAUUAGAACGAGGGACGGAUCUAAGAUUUUACUCCAAAGAGGAUAAAAUUUCUAAAUCCGAACAACCUUUUUUUAACGUAAAAAAGUAAAUUCUUCUCGGAUCCACAUUAAGGCAAUUACGUAAAAGAACUUCACAAAUUGCCUUUGCCAAAGCUAAUGAUGCGGUGUCCUUCUUUAUCAACAAACCGCAAUAAAAUUGCCAUUUGUUCUUUCUUUGACUCAUCAUGAGUUUCAUCCACUAUAAUGCAGAACUUUGAAUCUCCAAUCUCUUCCUGAAUGAAUCCCUGAAUUUUACUCGCCAAAAUAGAAAGAAUGUUCUUCUAAACAGUUGGACUGACAUACUAUGCAUUUUAAGGGGCAUUUUCUAAGACAAUUGCCGCAUCUUCAUUAUAAGAAGCCAGAAGUUCUAUUAGUUCAAGAAAGGUACAUCGAUUUCUUGAAUCUUGUGCUUCAUUGCGUCCCCUAAAGGCACAACCUUGAAAUAUAAGCCACUUGAUAGCAUCUAUUGACACCUUGAGCUGUAGUCGAUUUCUUGCAAUUUGUUCAGAAUUUUGUUUCUCAAUAAUCCUCCCAAUAAUUUGCAAGGAAUUCUGAAUAUCAAGAUAAUUUUUCAUUGCAUUCUUAUUUAAAUAAUUUUUUGCAUCCUUACCUACAUGAGUAAUAAAAGGACAUUUAGAUCAUUCAUUGACCUUUUUCCACGAUCAAAAUCCUUGGCUUGUAAAAGUAUUUCCAUGACGCCCAAAUGACUUGUUGAAGAGAAAACAAGGAAGGCAAUAUGCAACAUUCUUGAGCCAAUUUGGGAAUAACUUGUACCAAGAUGGGAGAAAUUUAUGUCUAUUCUUGUUAAUAUACUGAGGAGAUGUUGGAGCCUCACUUGGAGGUAUCGGUUGAUAUGGCACAAACUUAAUGUAAGCUUGAUGAACUUCAUCCUGUUGAUUUGGAGGGUAAUCCCAAAUAGAUUUUCAUAGUCCCAGAUCAUGCUCUAAAGAAGAAGCAUCAAACUUAUUUGUUUUGACUCUUGGCACCUUACAAGGACGUUUAAGAACUUGAGAAGACCCAAUAUCUUGUUCAGGAUCUUGGGAAGACUCAAUAUGCCGUUCAGGAUUUUGGGAUUAAGAAGACUUGAUAUCUCGUUCAGGAGCUUGAGAAGACUCAAUAUUGCGUUUUGGAGCUUAGGAUUAAGAAGGCCUGAUAUCUCAUUCAGAAGCUUGGAAAGAUCUAAUAUUUGAUUUUUCUCCACUAAUAACAGAAGGUUGAGGAACCGAUUGAUCAUUAUUGCUUUCUGACAUUUUUUUCUUGAAAAAAAAAUUGAUCUUUUUGUUGACCAUAAUUUAAUAGAAAAACCUGAAGACUGUAAUAAUAUAUUAAAUGAAAACAUAUUAGGAAAAAGUAAAAAAAAUUCAAAUAAAUAAAGAACAUAAUUUAUGUAAAAAUAUUUACCGAAAGGUUUUUUGUGUAAGGAGCCAAAAGGAACAUAAUUUGUAUUUUUUUACUCUGUGCUCUCAGUAUCAGCAUCAAAUUCCUUUCUUUUUCUCUCGGCAGUGUCGGUACCUUACCAAAGGAAGAUAAUUCCUUAGCAAGACAUACAAAUCAAAAUACAAAAAAGUCACUAACUUAAUAUGUAUAGGUAUGGGCCAAAUCAAUUAAUUAUGGAAUUUAGCUUUAAAGUCCAUAUUGGGCCUCUAAGUUUAGUCUUUCAAGGCCCAUCAUAUAUUAAUAUUUGAUUAUUAUUAAAGUUAUAUAAUUAAAAACUGAAAAAUACUUUGUUAAUAUAAAGUAUAACCUUAUGGCUUAAGGGGGUGAAUCAUAUGAAAUACAAUUUAGCUAAGGGGGCGAAUGUUAUACAAUGUGGACACCAAAUCUAAAAUACAUGAUAAUUUAUAUAUAAAAUUCAAAAAUCUAAAAAUUCCGCCCCCUAGAUCCAUCCUUGGUUAGAACUUUAGUUUGGAAAACUACGUGACCUUAGGCAAUUUCUUGGGUUCAAAUCUUGCCUAAGUCAGCCUACUCCUGGAAAAUGAGAAUUCUUACAGAAAUUCUUUAAGGCACCGAAGCAAAUUGAAAGCAAACUCGAAAGAUAAAAAGAAGCUACGAAUGAAUAAAAAGCCAUAGAAAAAUACCACACACCAAGUGUUUAAGUAAAUACUCUCAAAAGAAAUCUAUUACUUUGAAGGUUUAUAACUGAAUGAUUACAAAUAAGGAGGAAGACCUCUAUUUAUAGUUAAGCUCCCCCCAAAUCUAACAAUACAGAUUAAGUUACAUCUACAAUCGAUAUUAGAGCCUAUCUACAAGAUGAGAGUCUUAAGGAAUUUAAACUCUAUACAUCUUUAUCCCUUAGGAUUUACAUUAAUUACUUUGGUAAGUCUAGUUUUACUGGAGUGUUUUAUAGGACCACCAAGGCUUUAAGUAAAUGGGUUUGUUCAUGGGUUCCAUGAAUUGGGCCAGUUCAAGUGGGUCAAAUGAGCAUUAUAUAAUAAGUUGACCUCUAUGAGACGUUUUAUGUGUAGUGUUCAUGGGCUUCGAUCCGCGGCCCGUGACAUUCUGCCCCACCCAUUCUCGCGAUGCCCUCAUCAAGUCCUCGGAAUGACACUGGUUUGACUCAUCUCAUAACGGUUUUGAUGCCUCAGCUAAUUCUCAACUAUUGUUUUUGUCAGGUAGUUUUGCCUCUUGGAACAUUUGCCUUAGCUUAUGCCUCCGCCGUUGCCUAACUAGCACUAUAUUUAUCUCUUGUACAUCUCAUUCAUAAGAGGCCACCGCUUUUACUUGCCCCCACUGUGACUGGCUUUGAUCGAGAUUCUCUUGAUUCAUACAAAUAAGCUUAAGCAUGCCUACUGAUCUGCCGUAAUUUUAUAUAUCAAAUUAGGCUCUCCAAUACACUUGAAGAGCUUAUUAUUAAGCAAUUUAAGUGCCUUUUGUAUGUUUUUGUCAAUUUUUAGCUUUAAGCAUUAAUAAACAUUUUUACUUAGUUUUACACCCUUUUUGAGACCCAAAUUGGCCAAAUGUUGCCAAUGGGAAACUAAGGAUGUGAUUGAGUUGGUGUAAGGAGACGAUAAAGGCUCAAACUCGAGAAUAACAUCAUUCAGAGUGGGUAUCGUGACAUUGAUACCAUGGAAGUCAUGAUAUCCCUGAAAGUGUUAAAGUGAAGAAAAUUGAGUCCAGUUCUAGUGGUAUCAUGACACUGAGACCUUUAAGACCCCAAUUUAGCCACUGUGUUGGGAUCGCGACAUUGAGGAAUAGGUAUCACGACACUGAGUCCCCCAAAACCUCAAUUUAGCUACUAUUUUAGGUAUCACAACACUGAAGCUUAGGUGUCACCAUACUACUUCUUGAAGGAGGGAAAUUUUAUUACAGGGGUCGUUUUUGUCCAACACCAACCCAAUCAAAAUAUAGCAUCUAGAGGCAUUUUGGUCCAAAAUAUUGGAUUGUAAUAAGAUGUUAAAAGCCACUUGUGGCUGAGAAUAAAAGGGGGUUGUUGUCUUUACCUUUUCUUUCAUUAUUUUAGCUUUCUAGUUAGUGUCUUCUUUAUUUUCUUAGGGUUUAGUUAAAGCUUUUCUGGUUUUAGUUGUUUUAGUUGUUAAGUUAGUUAGUAUUUAUUGUAGCUUGGUCUUAAUAGCACUUUGGUGCCCAAAACCUUUUUAGUAUUUUCAUUUUAAUCCAUAACAUUUAAUAUAGCUCAGUUUUAUUUUCCUUUCUUAGAUAAAAAUCUGAACUUUAGUGUUAACUUUCACCACCAUUAUUGCCAUAUUUAUCUUCCUCAAAUAACUAUAAAAAAAACUUUAAGCUUUCUUUAACCCUUUUUUUGUACUUAUUUUAAUGCAUGCUUUGAAUUUAUGUUGGGUUGUUGCUUGUAUAGAAAAGAUGUUGAGUAACUAAAUCUAUGGUGGUUGGUUGAUUGAAAUGUUGCUUGGUUAGUUUUUGCUACAUAGACUAAAUCGUAAAAACUAGACUAAAUCAAAUAAACUUCAAAACUUAGAAUUGACGCCUUUAAGGUAAAACAUAGAUAGGUGAGUUUGAGAGAUCCUAUUGAGCAUCAAUUUGGUUGUCCCAAGUUAGUUUGGUGAGGUUGAGAGAUAAACCGAACUCCAUCGUCUAAUUUGGUAAAAUGAUGCUCUAGAGGUAAAAUUGAGUCAAUUAGAAGUUUAGGCUUUUUAGAUCCAUAAUCCAACUACUAAUUAGCAACAUAGAAGUCAUCCAAUCGCUAUUGUUUAUUGAAUUGUUGAUUACUUAGUUUUGUCUGUUUUACAAUUUGCUUAUUUUUAUUUAAUUAGCGUAAUUAACUUCAGUUAUGAAUUGUUGUAAUAUAAGACUUAGCAAGUAGUUAGCUAGACUUCUUGAUUCCAUGUUAGUUGAAUAGGAAUCACUUAAUACCUAAAUUCCCUUGGGUUCGAUCAUUAGAAUACUUGAGUGCUCCAUUGUAACACUACAAAUAUUACAACUCAACCUGUCACACUUGCAGUAUACCACCAUAUCAUAAUUGUUUUUGUGUUGAUUCAUAGCCUUGGUGCACAUACACCGAGGCGCGAUCACCUACAUUGAACAUCGAGUUCACCUUGAGUCUUGCCGCUAACUCUGAUUUGUAAGUUUCUCAGCUUACCCCCUUCAAAACUCUGAAAGAGCCCUUAUGUCUUUGCCAAGCCAAUUGUAAGUCAUAAUGUAAAACACUAGAUAUGUGUUUGAGAUGUUCCUCGCUCAUAACAUUUACUCUUUCUAACUGCAUACUCUGUAUCACUACUUUUCCCACAAAAUCUGAUGCACAACCCACCUCUCUCAUAGGUGGUAGCCCCACUAAUAUCUUAACAGGCCUCAUAUCGAUAUUUUGCCCCUUUAACAUUUCCAAGGGGAUUUUUGUAGUACUAUGAUCUAUCAAGUCAAUAUCCCCACCACACAGAACAUCAUUGGCUAGCUGAAUUACUGACAAUACCUUGGUUCCACCCCUUGUGUCUUGACUCAUCGACACAACACAUUGCUUUUGUUGAGCAUCUAAGAUGCAAAUGCAUUUGACAAAAGGAAUAAAAAAAAACAUCAAUCUUGUUGAGGAAAUUCAACCCAAGCACGAAGUUGUAAUAAUCUAAGUAAAUUACCUUAAAAUCUUUCUAGUCUUUUCAUUGACCGAUCUGUAACUCAACUUCUUGUGCUACUCCCACAGUUGGGACAUCUUUGGAAUUAACAAUCUUGAUUUUCUUAGUCGAUUUGCUAACUGAGAGACCAAUUUUACCCACGACUUUCUUCGAAAUGAACAGAUCAAAUGCCCCUGUAUUGAUAAGAGCACUCCUCCUUUGAGCUGCGAUGUUGAUGUCUGCAAACAUCAACCUUUUUUUACUUGUGAUUCCUUAUUGCCUUAGCAAAACUAAGUAUAGUUUAUCCAAUCUUCGAUAGCCUUUUCUUCUUUAGGCUCCUCUUCAACUUCUUUACUGAUCGCGGACAGUUUGGAUCGCUCUAGACAGUUUUGCCUCCUAUGCUGACUACUACAUAAGAAGCACUUCGCUAGUUUCUUUCCACUCUCUUUGCCCCUAUUGGUUUCGACACUAUGCAUGAUCGAACCAAACCUCAUGGGUGCUUUUUUUUUGCUCAUAAUCCUUUUUUAUGGUAGAAAACACUAAUAAUUUUUAGAGUCCCUUACCAUUUGCAGACUGCCACAUAAGAAACAUUUUAUCUCUCUUCUUUUUAUUCAAGUUGUUGAGUUUUUGUUUCCCAUUUCAUGGUUUCCCAUUUCCACCAUUACUGUUGAUAUACUCAACUUGUUUUUCUUCAUAUUCCGCACUGUUUCCCUUGUCCUUGGGCUUGAAAGACUCGAACUUGUCUUUCUUCAGAACAAACUCAAUUAAGGAUGCUGCCACAAUCAUGGCUUUAGACAGUUCUUGGACCCCUCGACAUUCUAAUUCCUGUUUCACCCACGGCUUCAACCCACCAUGAAAUAGAAGAAUUCUUCUUUCUCAUUUAGGUCAAAGAUUUGAAGCAUCAAUUCACUAAAGUCUCUGACAUACUACCGAACAGUACCUUGUUGUGUAAGCCGACGCAACUUAGCUCGAGCCUUCUCUAGCCAUACUACAGGUAAAACUAUUUUUCAAUUUUUUUAACUCCUCCCAAGUCCUAAUUACGAUACCACCUCGUUUCUCAUUUGUGGACCUACGAUGCUACCAUAAAAUAGCGACAUCAACAAAAAAACUACAGCAGUGUUUACCUUAGUGAUAUCAUCCUUGAUGCCUAUUGCACGAUAGUAUUGUUCCAUCCCCCAGAGAAUAUUGUCCACGUUCCUCGCAGACCUCGUUCCAUUGAACUAUUUCGGCUUAGGGACAUCUAUUUUAUAUUGCUUAGAAACUGAAACCAAUAUCCCUUUUCCCAUAGCAGCUCUGCACAUAACAAGCUUUCCCUUGAACUCCUCAAUUUUUGCCAUCAUGGCUUCAAUUUCCUCAUUCAAAGCCAUAAUCGAAGCUUCGAGAACACUAUUACUCUUAGUUAGCUUCUCGAUCUGAUCACCCAUGGUGGCAUUGAGGGCCUCUUUCAACACAUCCUGAUUGGCACCAAGAGCCUCUACCACAUAGUCCUUAAGUUGCACUCUCAUCGAGUCUAACUCAUCGGUUCGUUCUUCAACUACCUCGAAUGUUUCCUUCAUACCACCCAUGGAUUCCUCGAUAUUGGUCACCUGACCUUCUAAAUUUGACAUCAUAUCCCUUAAUCUGUUAUUUUCUUGGACCUCCCACAGGUCUUUAUCGAGACAUUCUGCUCGUCUCCUCCUUUCAACAUCUCAAUCGGUGCCUUUGAACACUGGCUCAAAUACCAACUGUCACGGGGCUAAAAAUUUAAUCUGACAAAUUGUGUGACUUUAGGCGAUUUCUUGUGUAACACCUCUAACCCAUAUGCGUCGCCAGAAUAGGGUUUUGAAGCAUUAUCGAAGUUUAUCGAUGAAACAAACAGAAUUCCCAAACAUUUCAUAUCAUCAAAAUAAGUCAUCAAAUUAAAAUUAUAAACAUGCCAAAAUCCAUCAAUUUGGCCUAGUUUAUAUCUACCUAAAACAUUAACUUAAAUUCACAUGCACAUACUAAGCUUUGAUUCAAUUUACCAUACCAUACUAUGGUUUCAAACACAAAUACAUGUUUAUAUGUAUAAAAUCAACCAAUAUUAAACUUAUAAUCUCAUUUACAAUCAAUCCACAAAAUAACUAUUAUUUAGACACCCUAGGUACAUGCCGACACAAAAGAUAGACAUCACCACAUUUGAGUUCGGGAGCAUUGUUGGAUGCUGAAUCGGCGAUCAAAAUUGAAGUACCUAAUCUGCGCAUAAAAAACAAAAUCGUACACUGAGUAAAACUCAGUGGUAUUUAUAUAAUCUGAAUAUUUAAAAACAAGACAAUAUAAUAUGCAUAUUUUAAUUAUAAGCACAUUUGAAUAUUUAUGACCACAUUUAUUCAUACAAUGGCAUUAGCCAUUCAAUAUUCAAUUGAUAAAUACAUCAUUUCAUACCAUUCUCAAAUCUCAUCACUUGCUAUAUAAUAACUUUUCACAAUUUAAUAUAUAUAUCAUUUAAACAAUAAUAUUAUUCAAUCCACAUCCAAUUCAUGAAUACGUAAUUCAUGUGUGUCAUUUUCAUGUUUCAAUUCACUAUCCCAUUUUCAUUCACAUGCAAUAUCAUCCAAUAUCAAUCAUAGUAUUAUUUUAUUUAAUUACCCCUAUUAACACGACUUAGACUCGGACGGAUACACGAAUCCAACCAACACACUAGUUUGGCACCCAGUGCCUCAUCGGAUAAAUCCAAAGAAAUAACUGUGCACAUCGCUAUAUAAAUUUGAAACAUAGUGUCUCACUAGUUAAACCGAAGUAAAUUGACACCUAGUGCCUCAUCGACUCGAAGUCGAAGAAAUACUUGAACUCUUCCAAUCCUAUGGCAUGCCAUCUAUACCCACUCAGCUCGAUACAGUUAAUAGGGUUUAAUUUCACUUUCCAAAUACAGCCAAUAUUCAAUAUUCAAAUUUCACAUUAACACAUAUAUUCAUUUCAAUUCAAUUCAAUUCAAUCAAUUUUAAAUCAAUCCAAUAAUCAAAGUUCCAUAUACUCACCUUAACCACUUACCAUAUACAUUAAAUUAAAAUACAACAAUGAACAACUAGGUUCGGAUUAUAGAAAUACAAACUAGAAAUUCCGAGCUAUUCGAUGUCGACUUUAUCUUUCCCUUUUUUAAUUGAGAAUUCCAGUACGACGUUAGCUACGGAAUUAAAACAAUUAAAAUUCAUCAAUACAACAAAAUUCAAUUUCAUAUUGAAUAUUUAAAUUUGACUCAAUGUUUGCCUAAUUUCCAAUUUAGUCCCUAAACCGAGACUAAUUUUUAUUCUUCACAAUUAAUUCUAUAUUUUCAUGCAAUUUCCACUUUAAACUAAAUUUAAAUCCCUAUUUUCACUUAAAUCCCUAAAUUUAAAUUUUUUCACAAUUUAGUCCCUAUUAUUCAAAAUUUACAAUUCAUUGUAUCCUUUUUCAUUUCUAACUUAAAAAUCUAUCAAUUUAAUCCCUAAUACUAAAAUUAUUCAACAUUAACAACACUUAAAAACUCAAUAAUUGCUAAAAUUUCAACAUGGGUCGAGUAGUACUUAACACCAAGAUUUCAAAAACAUAAAAAUUAUAAGAAAAAAUGACUAACUUGACUAACCAAUUGAGCUUUGAACCCUAGAAAUCCCUAAGCCUUACGUAUUUCUUUCUCUUUUUCUUUCUUUCUUUUCUAUUUUUGUUUGGCUUUUGCUUUCUAUUCUUUCUUUUUUAUUCAUUUACUUAUUUUAUUUUAUUAUACAUUAGUUUAUUAUUAUAAUAUAUAUACUUAAAUAUUAAGUAAAUUUAUUUUAUUAUAAUAUAUAUUAAAUUUAUAAAUAUCUUACCUUAUGCCACCUUAUUAAAGAACAAUGGUAUAAUUACUUCUUUAAUCCCUUUAAUUUUUCUUUAAUCUAUAAUUCAACUUUCACCCUAUAUGCAGUUUAGUCCUUAUAUCUAAUUACUCUUAAUUCAUGCAAUUUCACUUAACCAAAACCUAAUUAACUACACAACUAGCUUUGUAAAUAUUCUUAAUCAAUAUUUACGAGUCUGAUUUGCGAGAAUAGAGUCUCGGGAAUACACUUUCUGACACCCCUGACUAUCGAGUCGUUACAUCUUGGGUUCAAAUCCUGCCCAAGUCAGCCUACUCCCCAAAAAUGAGAAUUCUUCUAAAAAUUCUCUAAGGCACUGAAGCAAAGCGAAAGCAAACUUGAAAGACAAAAAAAAGCUACAAAUGAACAAAAUGCCACAGAAAAAUACUGCACACCAACUGUUUGAGUAAAUGCUCUGAAAAGUAAUCUAUUACCUUGAGGGUUUACAAUUGAGUGGUUACAAAUGAGGGGGAAGGCCUCAAUUUAUAGUUGACCUCCCCAAAUCCAACGGUACAAAUUGAGUUACAUCUAUGGUCGAGAUUAGAGCCUAUCUACAAAUGAGAGUCAUAAGAGAUUUAAACUCUAUACAUCUUUAUCCCUUAGGAUUUACAUUAAUUACCCUGGUAACUCUAGUUGUACUAGACUGUUUCAUAGGGCCACCAAGGCUUCAGGUAGAUGAGUUUCUCCAUGGGUUCCACGAAUCGGGCUAGUUCAAGCCGGUCAAAUAAGCCACAUUUAAUAAGUUGACCUCUAUGGGACGUUUUGUGCACAAUGGUCAUGGACUCUGAUCCGUGGCCUAUGACAUAUGCGUGUGGAAAUAACGAAUUUAGAAUAUAGAUUUCUGUUUGAAAAUAACAUGCAAUAAAUAAUAAAACGUAUGAUAAUAUAAUUUAUUUGUGUGAAAACUCUAUCCCGCCAUAUGGAUAUUUUUAUUUUUUAAUCAAAAAUAUUAAAUUACCCUUGAAUAAUAUAACUUAUUUUAAAUACUUAAAUUUUUAUAAUUUUUCUAACCAGGUUGGGGCCUGGUUGACUCGUGACACCAACUCAGUCAAGAAUUUUAUUAAUAGUAAGUAUAGAUAUACAAUUGGAGGUAAUAAAGUGUGCAUACUAAACUUGAAAUGUAUAAAUAAAUCAAAAUAAAUUUUUAGUUCAGUGGUAAAUUUAAAAUAUUUUCAACAAAAUUGGCAUGGGUUCAAAUCCCACCAUAUGUAUAUUUUAUUAUUUUUUUAAAAUUAAAAGACUAAAAUACCCUCAUAUAAUAUAACUUAAUCAUUUUGUAAUUUUUCUAAUCGAGUUGAUGCCAGAUUGACUUGUAACACCAACUCAAUCAGUGAUUUUAUUAAUAGUAUUGAUAAUUAAGAAGUAUCAAAUAAGGUAGGGUCAAGGAUGAAUCUAGGAGUAUUUUUUCGAGAAGAACUAAACUUUUUUCUUUCAUUUUUGGAGAGUUAAAAGUACAAUUUUACCAUACAUUUACUUAUAAUUUUAUCAUUUAUGGAGAGAUUAAAUUAUAAUUUCUUUUCAUUUUUAGGAAUCAAGGUUCUUGCCUACCUUCCCUUGGAUUCACCUCUAGUAGGGAGGGCCAAAGUUGUAAUUUUUAAAAUUUGACAUCUGGGACGAAACUAGACAAAAAUAAGAGGGAAUGGAACUAUGAUAAAUUUAACAAUAUCUAUCAUCGCCCCAUCCUUCUUUAAAAUUAUAACAUGAAUAUUGACAGAGUGUUGUUGAAUACUAAAUUAAUAAAGUACUUCUUAAAGCAUGAUACUGAUCAUCAAUGCUUAUGAGUUAAGGAAUAUACUGUGUCUGUGAAAAAGCAAAAAGCGAGGUUUUAGGAUCUAUGCGCACCGUUUUGUACCACAUAUUUUGUUUUACAAUGUGGUCCUUCAUAAUUCAUUGAUUCAUAAUGUGAAACAACAAUCAUUAAACUAACCACUUAAGCCUAUCAACAACCUCGAUUGACUUUAUUAAUUAUAACUAAAAUAAAAUUUGGCAUAAUUGCAAAAAAAAACCCUCAACGUUUGGGGCUUUUGGUUUUGUGCCAUUGACCUUUUUAUUUUUUAAUUGACACCCUCAACGUUAUGCUUUUUUCAGAAAUCAGCCCACUUUUAACGGUCAACGCAAAACCAAAAGCCCCCAAACGUUGAGGGUUUUUUUUACAAUUAUGCCAUAAAAUUUUAACUAGGUUAAAUAUGCUCUAAUUCCCUUACUCAUUCUAUAUUUGAAAUUUAGCCCCUUUAUUUUUUAGAUUUAAAAGUACAAUUUCUAUUGUCAAUACCAUUAAAAUUCUUCUACUAAAUUCAAGUCUACUACAAUUUCAUUAUUUUUAUUACAUGGUUACGAAAUAAUUUACGAUUAUUUGUGAACUGCCCUUUAAUGCAAAACCCUAACGGUGGACCAAUCAUAAUACAACACAAACAAAAGCUUCACUUCAAUUAAAUAUGGAGUCCCAUUGAUCCCACCGAGCUAUUGACGGUGAUUCUCAAAUAUCGCGGAACAGAAUGUGAUACGAUGAGAUAGAAUGUAAUAGAAACAAAGACACAGGGAACGGGUUACCUACUCUUAACAGUCAAAACGAACCCUUUCAUUCUGACAUUCUGAAUUCUUUAAUUCGGAAUGAAUCAAAUCUCCUCAAGUAGGAUUCGAACCUACGACCAGUCAGUUAACAGUCGACCGCUCUACCACUGAGCUACUGAGGAACAACGGGAGAUUAGAUCUCAUAGAGUUCAAUUCCCGUUCUCAACCCAUGACCAAUAUGAACUCGAAGUUUCCUUUGUAACCCCCAGAACUUCUUCGUAGUGGCUCCGUUCCAUGCCUCAUUUCAUAGGGAACCUCAAAGUGGCUCUAUUUCAUUACAUUCCAUCCAGAUCCCAAUUCCAUUUUUAAUCUUAAAUUGAGAGUAAAAUUUUUUUAUUAUUGUUUUAUCCAUCCACAAGACUUAAAUUCAAAAUUUUAAGCAUUAAGGUCCUUACAGUUUAGCUCUAAUUAGAUUAUAGAUGUGGGUGUUGGACAUAAAAGAAUAAAAAUCAAAGGGGGUAAAGGAAAAGGAUUAUAAAGUUAUAUAUUUUCAGAUCCAAUGUUGAAUGCCUUUGAAACUUUGCUCCUUCUUGGAUUUUUAUUUUUUAUAUUUUUAAUAUCAAAGAUUAUGAUUUGUGACCCAUCUUUUUCCAUGAAACUUAAGCUUAACUCUCAUCUCUCUAUCUAUUUUUCUUUUUUAAUAUCAAACCUUCUAAUAUUCAAUCCCAAAUAAAUUUGAAAUUAAAUCGAGUUGGGAUUCUAAAUAGGAAGCAGAGUUUUCCAAUUUUCUUUAUUAAUAAAACUCUAAUUUAAAUUUUUUUUAAUUAUUCGAUUCAAUAAUCAGUAUGGUGUAUCUAUCUGUAUUAAAAUAACUGAAAAUUUUAACUAAAUAAAAGAGUAUAGAAUAAGAAGUGCACGUGAUUUGAGGGCGUAAAGAAGAAGGCUGUUGAGUAAUCAGUCAAAAGCAAUUAGCAUGAAAUGGAAGAGAAUAUAUAACAUCAACACUUGCAGUACCUUGCUUUUUCGACAGUUAUAAUACUAAACAAAUAACAGAAAAAUUACAAAAUUGCAUCAAAGGGACCAAAAAUAAAUUAUAAUUUUUUGGAAUGAUCAAAAUAUAAAUUUACCAUUAUAUUAAUUUAUAAUUUACAAAUUUUAAAAGGACUCGUAAGAGCAAAUUAUUACCCGUGCCCGUUUCUAUAAAUUAAAUUUAGACAAUUUUUAAAAAAAUGAACACCCCAACAAUUAACUAUAACUUAAUUCAAAUAUUAAUUGAUAAUAAAUACUAUUUCUGUUAAAUAAAAUGCUAAAAUAGCAUAAUUAAUUACUUGAGUAUAUACUUAUUUUAUUUUUAUUAUAUCUCCUCAGUAUCACAUCACAUGCAGUAAAGUUGCUGAGCAAGUUCAUUUUUUGACUGACCAGCAAAUUAUUAAAAAAAAUUACUCCCCCAUAAAUACUAAGGGUUAGGCAAAAGUGUCUAAACUAUCAAUCAUAUUUUAAAUUAAACUCUAAAUUAUAGAAUGUACUAAUUGAAUAUAUUAAUUGGAUCUUUUCAUCGAUUUAGGUGUUUGGUUCUAUAGUAAGCAUAUUAAGAACAUAUGGGUAUACUAAUCAUAUGGACAAUUUCAGUAUGAUGUGUUAAAAUAAAAAUGUUGGUGCAUAAGUAUACUUAUGUUUACAAUAAGUUAGAUGGAUAAAAAAACUUGAUUGAUAUUAUAUUGAUACUUUGAAGACUCAAUUGAAAUGUUUUGAAAUUUAGAAAUUAGUUUAAAAUUUGAGUUAUAAAUUAAGGAUGUUUGGUACAGUUAACCCAAAUUUUUAAAGAAAAUAUUACUAUUCAAUGCCUAAUUAAAUUAAUAUCAUGAGUUAACUGGAUCGAACAAAAAAAACUAAAAAAUCCAAUUUUUUUAAAAACAACAAAUUUUAUUAUAAAUGUAUUUAUUUUUUUUAAUAAUUUAAUACUUUUUUUUAAAUGAUCACAUUAUAGGUUUUGAUCAUAUCUACUUUUUUUGACACAAUGGCUAGACGUACCCAUAACUCCUCCUCAAUCUAUAAUAGGAUCUGAUCAUAUCAGCUCUUUUUGACACAAUGCCUAGAACUAUCAAUAGUCCCUCCCCAACACGCAAAUAAGAGGAUAAUGCGCUUCAGCGCAUUUGAACUCACAUUUUUCUACAUUGGCAAUAAUAUUCAUGCCAAUCAAGUUAAAACUCAAUCGACAAUAAAUUUUGUAAUUUUAUAAAUAAAUAAUUAAAUUUAUGAUGCUUUGGAGGGGGGGGGGGGUUGGGAUUUUGACGUUGUUUAUAUAAAAUAAGAAUGCCUUUGUCUAGAAGGAACAAGGAUUUUGUCCACUGCUACUGGCAAUAUUUUUAAAUAUAUGACGACCCACUACUUCAAAUUAUGUGAUUCACUUGUAAAUCUAUGAUCGCUGGUAAGAAACAAUUAUAGCAUUGAUAAUGACUAUUUAAUUCUAUGUAUAAUUAACUAUUUAAUCAUAUCAAACAUACUUAUACACAUUAACUAUUUAAUUGCAUAUUAAAUUAGGUUAGAUGUAGGAUUUAGGUUAAAAAUAAAAUUACGUAACAAAUAUAUUUAUAAAAAUUAAAAAAUAAUUUUAAAACGUAAAAGGUUAGACUCUGAUUAAAAUAGUGGAUAGAGAUGUUAAACACCGUAAUAUUUUGGGUUCAAAUAUUUCAUUAUGUGUUUGUAUUUUUCUAUCUUUAUAUGAAUAUAUAUAAAAAAAAUUCCAAUUCUCGGGUCUAAUUUAAUUGAGAAAUUAGGAAAACUCAUUCAUUUUAAAAAAUGAAAAACAUUACCAUGAGAAUAUUUUUACCGUUUUAUAUUUUAUGUCAAAUUUAAAAAAUUGUAUUUUAAUGAGAUCCAAGCUCAAAGUAUAAUGGUUUUGAAUAUCUUUAAUUUUACUAUUUCAGUUAAAGUCUCGUUUGUUUUACAUUAAUUCUUUUUAUAUAGAAUUUUUCCUUAUGUCGUAAAUGUGCGAUAAUCUAAUACUGAAUAAAGAAUAAAAAAUACAUUUAUUUUUUUCUCAUUUUAAAAUUAUUUUAAUAAAUAAAAUUUAAGGGUUAAUAUAUUGAAGAUGUAAAUAUAUAGAGAGGAAAAAAGGAUUAUAUGAACUGUGAUACUAUGUUAUUUGUAUCCAUUUACAAUAAAUUAAUGUUAUUUUAACAUUUUCAUCCUUAAAAAAAAUAAAAUUCAACAUGAUAUGUUGAAAUUUAAGAUGAAAAUGCUAAAAUAAUAUCAAAUUAUUAGAAAAUGAUACAAAUGAUAUGGUAUCUCAGUUUCAUAUUAUCAUUUCUCAUAUAUAGAAAUAUGGACGAAUUUAAAGGAGUAGUUAGGUGCAUUGGUCCUCGAAAAUUGAAAAUUGCUAUGUUGAUCCCUUAAAAUGUUUAAAUUAUAAAUUAAUAUUUAAUCAAAUUGUAUUUUGACCCAAAAAAUCGAUUAAAUCCCUUAAAAAAAAUAAUCAAAUCAUAAAUUAAUACCUGAUAAAAUUAUAUUAUAACUUGUCAAAAAAUUAUAAUUCAAUUCUGGUUUCUAGAUUCACUCCUGUAUCAAUCAAAGUGAGAAGCAAGUGUCUUUUCAUUUUCUCGCAAUGAAGUAGGCCUUGGUAGCUAACAUUGUCUACUUUUUUUACUUAGAUAAUACAAAAAUAAUAUUUAAAUAUCAAAAUAGUAUCCCAAUGCCAUUAUUUACUAAAAUGGCAUGUUAUGAACAAUGUUUAGGGCUGGAGGGUUUGAGGCUGGUAGCACUAGGGGUGUUCAUUCGGUUACUCGACCCGAAAUUGCUAUAAUUGAAUUAACCGACCUUUCAAAAUUUUUAACCGUUAACCGAACCGAAUUUUAAAAAAAAAAUUAACCGAACCGAAAUUUUUUCAGUUUAUAAGGUCGGUUAACCGAAUUAACUGAAAAUUAUGUGUUUUUUUAUUUUUGGUUAAAAAUUACCCGAAUUACCCGAAAAUUACCCAAAAAAAUUCGGUGUUGAGCUUGAGAAAAAAUUGGGUCGGGUUUAAUUUGACCUAUUUUAGGCCCUACCCUGCAAAAUUCGGUUUACCCGAUUUUUUUCGGUUAACCGAUAGGUUUCGAACCGAUUUAACCGUUAACCGAAAAAAUAAAAAAAAAUUAACCGACUCCCGACCGAAUUUUUUCGGUUAACCGACCGAUUAACCGAACUCGGUCGGUUAACCGAAAAAAAUCGGGUUAACCGAAUUAUGCACAGCCCUAGGUAGCACCACCAUUUUUUUUGCUACCCAAUCAUUAAUCUGUUACAAAAAAAUAAGUGUUUUAACGGUGGAGGGUUCGGGUUCAACGACACCGAUAUACAUUACGAGUUAAAUACGAGUAUUUUGGGAAGCAAAUUUUAGUGAGUGGUGACAACUUGGUAAGCGAACACCGAAUGAGUGGUGCCUUCUUGUCAAGUGACACCGACUAUGGAUGUAACCGAUUGUUUCAGUUUUUUCUGACGGCCUAAUGAGAUAUUGUGGGGAAAACUAAGGGGACCUUAUAAUAACCAUGGUCCCCUCAGCAAUGGUGGUGUAAAAAAGAAGAGGGUUUUGGUUGUAAAAAACAAUAACAGAGAGGAGAAAAAGAAGGCGGUAAAAAGAAGAAGAUAGCAGCAAUUUAAGGAGAGAAGAGAAAGAAUAGAGUUUUAGUCAUACAAAAAAAAAAAGGAGUGGAGAAAAGAGAGAAGAGAGAGAAGAGGGUUUUACUUGUUAAGAAAAAGAAAGUAACAGUUGGGAGAAGAGUAGUGUUUAGGGUUUUGAAAGGGGGACAAUAGCCAAAUUCUUUGAUUUUGAAAGGUAAAUUUUCUUUUUAGUAAUUAUUAUUUAUUUCUUUAGUGUUUAUGGUUAUUUAUUAAUUGUUUGAUUUUGUGUGUUUAAGAAGGAGAGGCAACGGCCAAAUUUUUAUUUAAAGGUAAAUUUAUUUUUUGUAAUUAUUUAAAGGUAAAUUUAUUUUUAGUUUUGGAAGUAGUAAUUUAAUUUGGUUUGAAGGUACAUUCGUACAUAUUUUUUGGUGGGCAAUAUUUAGUUGUUUGUUUGAUAAUUUUUAAUAUUUGUUCGGAUUUGUGGUGUUGUGUUAUUUAUUAGUUGGAUUUGUAAUUUUAUUAUUUAUUUGAUUUUAUCAAAAUAAUUCAAAAAAAAAAACCAAAAUGGGUCACUGUACAAAUGAAUUACUGAAACAGGUUGUUUGCUUCAAAUUUGUACGGUGACCCAUUUUGGUAUUUAAUUAUUUUUGGAUUAUUGUGAUAAAAACCCCAAAUAUGUUGUAAAUUAAUUGUCUUCAAGCAGAGAAAUUAUCAUAAUACUUUUAAUUUUUUGAUAAGAAAAUUAAUUUAUACAUGUUACGUUAAAUUGAUUGAAUGCUAAUUAAUUGAACUGAAUUGGUUUUACAAAUUUUUACAGUUCACAUACGUUGAAUAUCUGUUACGUAAUAAAAAAAAACUGUUAUUAGAAUAACAAAUGAAAAAAAUGAGAUGAUUUCUAAAAAAUAAAUGAUCGACUUACAUUAGUGUAUCCCAAAUUACGUUGUUAUUGAUUUGUUUAUAUGGGUAAAAAUAUUAUUAAUUCUUCAAAAAAAUAACAAACGGUACAAAAUUCAUUUUCGUUAUUUGUUCAAGCGAUGAUUAAAUUUUUUAUUUGAAACUGCAGAUGUUUGAAUGAAUUCUUUGAUUACAUGAAUGGAUCACACAUCAGACACGAUUAAUGCGGUGUAACAAAAUUGUUAUUUGUUAAUCAUGAGUCCCUUUAUAAAGUUUCACAUCAUUUUUUUAUUUAAUUGGGAUAUAUUAACUAUUGCAGUAAAUUAAUAUGGUCAGGGCCCGUACCGCGUAUUGAGGGGUCAUGUCAAUGUUGUGGGCUAUCUAUCGGAUGAGUGUCUUAUGCCAUACUUGGAGGCAUCUGGAUUCAGAUUAGUGACAUUGAUCUGCAUGUUUGAUUUGAAAUACAACUUGAAAUACAACUUGAUAUUCACAUUUCAUUUGUCGUGUGGGAAGUGUACUAUUAUUCUGGAAGAUAUUGCACUGCAACUUGAGCUCUCAAUCGACGAUAGUGCGGUCACGGGUGUAAGUACAACAUCCAAACCAACGACCCUUUGCUAUGACUUACUAGGCACUCGUCUAGUGAUGGUGGCAAGAAAUUAUAGUCAAUUUAUGUUUUAAAUCAUUUUUCUUUUUAAUGAUUACGAACUAUAAACAUAUAAUUAAUAAAUACUAUUCAUUCAACAAAUAUAUAAUUAUAGUAAAUUAAUGUUUUAAAACUUUUGACUUAAUUUUUUAACAAACUUUUGAUUUUUUUGAAAACAAUAUUCAUGCCAAAGUGGUGUUUAAAGAUGUAAUAUAGUUUUGUUGUUACUAAAAUAUAAAUAUGAAAAUUCCAUCAUAAACAUAAAAAAUUUAUUACAAGUUUGAACAUGGAGUACAUUAAUUCAGAUUCCACCCGAUCGAGACGAUUGUCCAAUAUGGUAGGUUCAAUGCGGGCAUUUAUUUCAGUUAUGACCAGUUGUUCUGCACACACCACAAAUUUUGGGGUCGAUUUUCUCACUCAUGUCCAUUUCAUUACGGAUCCUGGUAACUUGCAAGCGACCUUUCGACUUCUUAUGGAACCCCUUGUCUGAGACAAGCUCGAAAGUCAGCGGAGACACUUCCCAUGUAGACAAAUCACGCAAAGCGGGAAACUCAUUUCCCUAAAUACACAAUGUGCGCUCGAGAGUGUACACCACAUCAAUAUAUUGUUCAACAUUUGAUAAAGGUGCAAGCAUAAGCUGCAAUGAUAUGCGUACUUGGGUAGCGAAAUGCCUGGAACUUUCUGCAAUUGCACCGUCUGUUUCAAAUAUCAACUCCGUAGGACCUAGGUGGAAUACCGAGUUGAUGACUAAUGGACUCCAUAACUUGAAAAGUUUCUAACUAUUGAGAAUAUAUUUCUACAUUUAUCGAACUCGAUCUCUGAUGGUUCACAUCCAUUGCCUUACCGACCUCCUCGACAAACACAUGUCCCGCAUCCAUUUGGUCUACUUAUUUCAGCCCCAUUUUUGGCAUCAAGGUUGUCAGCAUGUAGAACAUAGUUGAGAAAAUAGAUGAAAUUAGAAGAUGUCGUGUUCGAUUCAACACAGAGUUAACCACCCCUGCCAAGUUGAUGGUCAUAGGCGUACACCCAACGCACCAACUUUCAGUUUCUUAUCUAUUUAAGUUAGACUUUUACUUACAUCAAGGUGGACGAGUCACACACAUAUAGUCUGUUUUAAGUAUGUCACACUAUAAACGUCACAAGUGAAUAAAUCCAUAAAUGGAUUCAGGAUUUAUUCUGUUUGGGUCAUGUCCAAUAUACUGUUAGUUUAGUCAGUCACAUCUAUAUCUCUAUCUUCUAGGAGUCAUCCGCUCCGAUGCCUAAGACAAAGCAUCUCCCCAAUUGGACUUGAUAGACGACAUAUUAGUCUUUCAAUCAGUUUGAUCAUUUCUUAUUAGACUAAAGAUAUAUUUAGGUUCGUCUACUAAUACAAGUUGUCUUUCUGUAUUACGAUUCAACCACAUAAUACCGUUUAGUAUUACUUAAACAUUUAAACAACCAAUGAGCAAUAUUUGCUUCUAUUUUGAUUUUCAUGAAAAAAACUAUGCGAGGACAAUAAUACAAAUUAUAUUAAUGUAAUUCAUGAAUAAUUUUAUAAGUCAAUCUGUUCGGAAAAGGUAUAAGUGUACUUAGAUGAAAAUACUACACUCAGGGCACCAAAUCUAACAUACUAUUGAAGGGGCUAUUUGUGAUUGGGUUAGGAAGAUCUUUGAAGGAAACACUAUAGAUUCGGAGUUAAAUAAUACUCUUAUUGUUCUAAUUCUUAAAGUUCCUAAUUCGAAAAAUUUUACGCAGUUCCGUCUAAUCAGUCUGUGCUCCUUUUUAUACAAGCUAGUUAUGAAGGUGAUAGUGAAUCGAUUUGAGAUUAUUUUUCCUAAGAUCAUAGGCCAAGAGCAAGCGGGGUUUAUUGUAGGUAAAAAUAUUAUUGACAAUGUUGCCAUAGUACAACAAGUGUUGCAUUCCAUGAAAAGUAAGAGUACAAUUUAGUGGAGAACUAUUAAGAUAGAUUUAGAGAAAGCCUAUGAUAGGGUGCAUUGGGAUUUUGUGGAAGCAUCUCUUAAAGUGGCAGCUAUUCCUAACUUUCUAAUAAAGGUUAUUAUGUCAGCUAUCUCGACGUCCAUUAUGCAGGUUUUAUGGAACAAAGUUACGACCCCUAAGUUCAAGCCUGUUAGAGGAAUUCGUUAGGGCUGUCCUUUAUCUCUAUAUCUUUUUUGUGUUGUGCAUGGAAUGGUUGGGCCAUUGGUUUCAUUCGACUAUCUCAUUUGGGGAAUGGAGUCUUAUUCAGUUAUCUCGAAAGAGGGCCUUCCCUUUCGCAUUUAUUUUUUGCAGAUGACUUAGUGAUUUUUACCAAAGCGAACUUGUAGCAUAACAAAAUUCUUAAGGACUUCCUUGAGUGAUUCUGUGAGUUUUCCAGGCACAAGGUUAAUGUUUGGAAGAUCAAUAUGUUUUUUUCUACUAGAGUCAAUGGGGACUUAGUGAGGAAGAUUAGUGAUAUACUCGGAUUCCAACACGUUUAAGAUCUUGGUCAUUAUUUAGGAGUUUCCUUUCACCAAAGAAUUACCAAAGGUUCGUUGAGUUUUUUGGUAGAAAAAGUUCGGAAGAAGCUUUCUAGCUGGGAAGCUAAGGAACUCUCAUUUGUGGGAAGGGUAACUUUAGCAUAUACAGUUUUACUUUCAAUCCUAAGUUAUCUCAUGCAAUUCUUAAUGGUCUCGAAAGGCGUCUAUAACAAAAUUGAAGAAAUGGUGCGGCAAUUCAUUUGGGGAUCUUCUGGUGGUAAAAGGAAAAUGACAUUAGUGAGGUGGGAUGUUAUUUGUCAGCCUAAAUCGCGUGGAGGUUUUGGGAUACGACAUCUUAGCGAUCAAAACUUCACUUUUAUGAUGAGGCUUGGUUUUAAGAUUGUCACCAAAACUGAUGCUUUAUGGGUUUGGGUCCUUAGAGCGAAGUAUGGGAUAAAUGACAAAUUGUCGAAAUGUAUUACAUGGAGUAGAAGCUUUUUUUAUGUGGAAAUCCAUUUCUAAAGCACGACCUUUACUGUGUGAUAAUUUGAUAUGGUCAGUGGUUGAUGUAAAUAACGUUCAUUAUUGGAAGGAUUCUUAGGUCCCUAAUAUGAGACCAUUAAGAAAACAUGUUUCUGCUUAUGCAAAUGUUGUUUCAGACUGUAAGUUGAGUGAAAUGGUUACGAAAAAUGGCACAUGGUGCCUCGAUCUAUUUCGAGUUUGGUUGACAGAAAAUGUUAUCCAACAUAUCGUUAGCAUUCCCCUACCAAUGUCUUUUUGUAGGACCAGAUUUGAUCUUUUUGUCUCGUUCUGCAAUAGUUGCCUUCUUUGUUAAAAGUGCAUAUUGGAUAUUGAAAUAGGGGUCUUGGAAUCCCAGAGAUGCAGUUUGGAAUAUAGUGUGGAAAUUCCCUAGGACUCAGAGAGUUAGGCAUUUCAUUUGGAUAGUUUUGAAACAGAGACUCCUAACCAAUGUCGAGAAAGUUCAAAGGAGGAUUGGUCAGGAUGAGUCAUGCCUUCUUUGUGGACAUAGAUAUGAGGAUGCAUUACAUGUGCUUAGGGAUUGCCCGGUUGCAAAGGAUGUUUGGCACCAAGUUUUUCCACUAAGUCAACAUGGGGUUUUCUUCUCUAGCAAUUUAACAGAAUGGCUGAUUUUAAAUUUGCAUGAUCACUCAAAUCACAACACGAGGGAUCCGAGUUGGGUCUAUCUAUUCGAGUUAUUAGUGUGGCAUAUUUGGAAAAAUAGAAAUUCUUUUAUCUUCCAAGGUAUAUCCAUGAAUCCAAAUGAGAUUAUUAAGGUCUCAUAUAGCUAAGCUAAACAAUAUAUUUUAGUACAUAGGGAUGUGUCGAGGUUGGGAUUAGAACCCUAUUUUGAGCAUUCAUUUCCAAGUAUGUGUUUUUUUUCUCAAUACUAAAGGUGUCGUUCAGGCGAACACUGAUUUAUAUGUUGCAAGAGGUGGUGUGGUUUGGGAUGAAAUGGGGAAGUGGAUAUUGGGAUAUAAUCAGUUCUUGGAAAAGUGUUCAGUCUUUGUUGCCUAGCUAUGAGGCAUUUUGGAUGGUUUACUUCUACUUCAGAAGUAAAGGCAUGAUAGGGUCAUCAUCCAAUUUGAUAAUCUUGAUGUUGUUAAAGCUAUUUGCGACCGUCAGUUAGCUGGGGCAAGUAUAUCACUUGUUAGGAGAAUCCAACAUAUUUUAUCCCAUGAUGACAAAUGGUUCAUGCGACAUACCUUUAAGAAAAAUAAUCAGGUAGCGAAUGCAUUAACUAAAAUGGCUUUUGCGAAUGAUGAAGAUUUGUGUUUAUUUGAUGUCCUUCCUAUAAAGAUUCAAGUAAUUUUAAAAGAGGAUAGAGUGAGAGGUAAUUUGGCUCCAGUUAUUAUUUUAGUUUUUUUACACCAAAAAAACACACCUGUUACCUCUCUUAUAUUAACUAAUAAUUAAUAAAAAUAUUUCAAAGUCAAUUCUAAUUAAAUUUGUGCGACUUGAUUCACAUACACCAAAUUCAAUUAGAGCUAUAGAUUAAUAAAAAUCUCAUAUGGUCGCGUAACCAAUUUGUUAAGUUUUUAAAUGGACAAGAAUUAAAAUGUCCUUUUCAAUAAUAAAAGGAUUAAAAUGAACAUUUGGUAUACUAUAAGGACUCGUAUUGUAUUUUAACCUCAUUUUUUGAGUAAUAGAUGGUAUUAUAAAAAAAUCAAAUUAUAACAAAUUAAAUAAUACCGAAACUAUACUUUAACCCCCAAAAAACAAUAUCUUCAAUAUAUAUUCACACACAAUUUUUCUUUUAAGAAAUAUGACAUAUUCUCAAGAGAAAAUACAUAUGUUUAAACUUUAGAGACAAUAUUGUUAGAAAAAAUAAAACAAAUACGAACAUAAAUCAUGAAAUAAUCAUAAAAAAUAUCAAAAAAUAAGAGUAAAUCUGGCAAAUUUAGAUAUUAAAAUAUUGGGAUUAGUUUUAUUCAAGUUGAAAUUCAACUUCUUUUGAAUUUAAAUUAUUUGGAGUUAAGGUAAUGUUUUAUUAAAUUCAUUUGGGUAGGUUAGUUCAUUAUAUAAGGUAGAAUUAUUAUCUUUUUAUGUUGAAAUAAAAUUAUAUCAAAUUUAAAUAUAUAUUACUUAAAUAGUCCAACAUAAGUAAAAUCUUCAAUUAAAUUUAUUUGUGAGAUAUUUUGAAAUAAACAAAAUACUUUCUCCGUAGCAAUGUAAAUAAUAACAUUUUAAUUUACUUGAAUUUAAUAUAAAAUUCCAACAAUUUUUACAAUUAAAUUUAUAUUUUUAAACUUGAAAAAGUAAAAAAUAGAUAAUUAAAAUUUUAAAAAUAGAAAUAAGGAGACCAAAUUUUAAAUAUAUGAAGAUUACAAGGACUUAUAUAAUAUUUUUAAUUUUUUUUAAUUAACUCUAUUUCUUUCUCUCUCUUGACACCAUACCACACUAUAACUAUAGGGAAUUAGGAAAAGCAAAAAUUCUGUAUUUAGCUCCUUGAAAAUUCGCUACGUUUUCUCCCAUAUUAUAUGCUCUGCUUUGCUCGCCAGUUCCCGGUUGCUCCAUGAAAGAACCUUCCCUCUCCCUUUAUCCUCUCUAAACUUCAUUUCAAUUCAACCCUUUUUUUCUCUCUUGUUUUUUCAUUACUAAAUCAACUAAGGAACCUCUUUUUUUGGGUUCUUUUUGAAAAGCAAAACGCCCGAGCAUUAAUGGAGAAAAAGCAAGGUUUUUUCUCAGCUCUCAAAGAGGAAGUAAUUCGUGGGCUUUCACCUUCCCGCUCGAGGACCAACAGCCCCGGAAGAGCCCGGUCACCCAUUGCGAUUCUGUUGCGGAGAAAGAAAAGCGGCCACAACAACUACGGAGGCGCUUACCUGGCGCAACCGGAGCCCUUGAUCGCGAGGUACGGUGUCGGGGAAGCGUUAACUCCGCUCAUGGAAGGUCCCGACCAGGACGGAGGUGAAACCGGGGACUCCAAGAGGCUUGGGUCGGGGCUAGGACAAUGGGUUAUGGGACAGUUAUCGAGGACUCCAUCCAUGGCUUCCUUGAGUUGCAAAAGGUCCGAUCUAAGGCUGUUGCUGGGGGUCAUGGGUGCACCUUUGGCUCCUGUUCAAGUUUGCUCCACUGACCCUUUGCCUCACUUGAGCAUCAAAGACACUCCCAUUGUUAGUCCCCUUCCGCCCCCCCCCCCCCCCGGUCUUCUUUAGCUUAUAAUAGACUUAAAAAAGAACAAAUGAACUUCUGGGUGUUUUUUUUUCUGCUUAUGCUGGUUUGAAUGGUGGCUAAAGUAUUUAUCAGUUAUAGUAUUUUAUUUGUAAUGUUCUUGUAUUUUUCUUUAAGCUUCUUCUAUGGUCUGUGGAUCCAUUUUAUUAAAUCAUGGUUUUCAUUCAAACUGUGGUUAGCAAGAAACUUGAGUAAAAACUCCAUUUCAUUGCGGUAUGGUGCAGGAAACUUCCACUGCUCAGUACAUAUUGCAGCAGUAUACAGCUGCUUCCGGUGGUUUGAAGCUGCAAAACUCUGUUCGGAAUGCGUAUGCAAUGGGAAAACUGAAAAUGGUAGCUUGUGAAUACGAAACUGCUGCGAAGACGGUUAAGAACCCAUAUGGCUCCAGGGGUGCGGAGUCCGGUGGGUUUGUGCUCUGGCAAAUGAAUCCGGACAUGUGGUAUGUUGAACUUGCGGUUGGGGGCAGCAAGGUUCAUGCUGGCUGUAAUGGGAAGCUUGUGUGGAGGCACACACCUUGGCUUGGUGCUCGCACUGCAAAGGGGCCUGUUAGACCCUUGCGUCGUGCACUUCAGGUGAGGUCUCCUAUGCUUAUCAGCAGCUGAACAUUGGGUCUUCGAUUAUACUUCUAGCAUUACUGGUUUUCUGAUUCUCUCUUUGUGCUUCACUAUUCCUAAUUCAGGGUCUUGAUCCGAGAACUACAGCUAGUAUGUUUUCUGAUGCAAAAUGUAUAGGAGAGAAGACAAUUAAUGGUGAGGAUUGCUUCAUCCUCAAGCUCUGUACCGACCCCCAGACAUUGAAGGCAAGGAGUGAAGGCCCUGCGGAGAUCAUUAGGCAUGUCUUAUUUGGCUACUUUAGUCAGAAGACCGGGCUUCUGGUUCACAUGGAGGAUUCACUCUUGACUCGUAUUCAAUCCAACGGUGGGGAUACUGUUUAUUGGGAAACCACAAUCAAUUCAUAUCUUCAGGAUUACCGUCCCGUCGAAGGUAUCAUGAUAGCACAUUCUGGCCGUUCUGUCAUUACACUUUUCAGGUUCGGGGAAGCUGCAAUGAGCCAUACAAAAACAAGGAUGGAAGAAGCUUGGACGAUCGAGGAGGUUGCCUUUAACAUACCAGGCCUUUCUGUUGAUUGUUUUAUUCCUCCAGGUGAUUUGAAAUCUGGAUCCAUCAGUGAAACCUAUGAGCUACCUCAGGACGAAACAGGGAAGAGUGGGAUCGCCUUAUCAGCAUAUCAUGCCAAAGUUGCUGCACUCGAGAAGGCACAGGAUAAUUGGCUGACAGUAUGAUUUGCAGGAUACAAGUCUGAAGAAGUGUAGAAUUCACAACUUAGAAAGUGCUCAAUUUGGUAGCUAGUUCAGUUGACUAACCCAUUAGAAAUUAAAAAAGAAGGUAGAAGUCAAUUUUUGGACUUCGGUUUUAUGCCUCUAUUAAUCUGUAAAUAGAGCAUAAUGGUUCAUAUCGGGACCUCUAUGGAUCUUUAUACUCUCAAUGCAGAAUCCAACUAUGGAGAGUUGGAGCUCAGUUUUUCCAAUUAGGGAUAGAGCUAAUGGAGGUUGGUUUUUAGUUUACCCGGCUUUGAUGGUAAGUAGCAAAGCUACCCCAUCAACCCUUUUAUUUUUUCUAUAGUUACACUAACUAUAUAUAGUAUGGCAGCAUAAAGGAUGCUGCCAGUUUAACAGUAAUGUCUAGUUUUUUUUUUUUUGAUGUUACAAAUUCUGGAUUUGUGAUUCAAAAUGUGAUGAUUUGGGUUGAAAGUUGUUUGGGGGGUUUGAGAGAAGGGAAAGAGAUUUUGCCAUUUUUGUGGAAAUGGUGAUAAAUAGGCAUAAUGGUAAAUGAGAUGGAACUAACUAUAUUUCUUACCUUCUGAAAGUUAUUCAAUGCUUUUGAUGAAUAUACAGUGAUCCCCAUAUUUCCUUCAUUCUUUUCUAAGUUUUAAUAUGUGACUUGUGAAUGCCCAGAUUAUCUUUGUACUACAAGUGACGACACUCGAACCCUAAUGCUGUUGUUAGGGUGUUAAUAAGAACUUUGGUUGAACCACCAUAUCUUUAAGAAUAUACUUAAUCUUCCUACAUCAAGUAGGCAGCAAUAUCUAAGGUUAUCUUUGACCCAUCACUGCCAUUGGAACCCUUUAAGGCUUGAGUGUGUCCCCUUGGUGGGGUGUCCAAAGCUUUUUUUAGUCAGACAAGCCAACAUAUUUUUGAAGCAAUGCAAAGCCCCACCUUUGACCACAGGUGUAAUGUGGGGUUAGGUUGGGUCAGUGGUGUGAAGUUGUGGUAGCAUCGUUCAAAGCUAAAAAAGCUAAGCACGAGAUGAAAGUUCCUCAAAACCCCCAUGUGAUUCUUCAUUCUUCUUUUGCUUUUGCUUUGGUUCCUUUGCUUAACUGUUUUAGCAGAUCUUUUUACCUGCUUUUGCCAACUUAUUUAUUUAUUUAUUUCGGUCUUUCUUCAUGUUUACUCUCUAAGAUAUAGGUGCUGAGGGUGGGGAAAGUUCCAACUCAUCCCAUGUUUUCUGAAAAGUCAAUCUCUCUUUCUUUUACUCCAUUUUCUUUUUAAGGAGCCAUAGAGGACUUCUCUCUAUAUGUAAAAUCAAGUCAUAUAAAAUUUGGGCAUAUUUUAAUAAAUGCCUUAUAAUAUAUUUUUACUAAAAUGUUUUUCUUUUAAUUUUAUAGAUAUUAUAUCUAUUUUGAUUCAAUUUUAUCAUUAUAGAUGGCUUGAGGAGUUUUUUUUACUUUACCGAUGGUGUACAAGACAAUAAUUCAAAAUAAUAAAUAUAAAAUAAGAAAAAAAUACUAUAUAUGUAUUUGUAUUAAGAGUUUGAUUUUAUUUUGUCUCUCUACUUAAAAAAUUGGUAAAUUAGUCCUGUAUGUUAGAUUAAAGAGCAGGACCAACUUGCUCUUUGAUCUAAUGUACAAGAAUUAAUUUAUCUAUUUUUUGAGUAGAGGGAGCAAAAUACAAUGUGACUCCUAGUAUAAGAGUCUUUAUGGCACUUCUAUCAUAUAAAACAUUACGAUAUUAUGUAAAAUAUAGAGUUGAGUUGAGAUUUUUUUUUUCAAGAAGUUGGAGGCCACGUGGAUUGAAGAAAUCAUUUUGGGCUCGGAAUUGGAUGUUAUUAAUUUUGAGUUUAACUUGUUUAAUUGUCGAUUUAGUUUUAAUUUGGUUGACAUCGAUAUUUUUAUCAAUGUGGGAGGACGUGGAUUCAAGUGCGUUGUAACGCAUUCAUCCUCUUUUUUGAGAAUCAGGAAGGGGUCGUGAAUAAUUAUAAGCGACUUGAUUAAAUUCAAAAUUAAAGUACUUUAAUGAUUGGCUGGUUUAAUUUCAGAUUAUUAACUAUAAAAAUGGGUUAAAUUUACAUUAAAGAUUUUGGUUAAGCUGCAAUUGAAUAAAUAUUACGUUGUUUGUGAGGUUUUAUCCCGUGAAUAAUUUACUAUAAAUCAAUUCUUAUGUUUGUGAGGCUUUGUUGAAUGAGUAGUUUAUUAUAAAUCAACUCUUACAAAAUAAGUCCAAUUCACUCACCAACCCUUUUCCCUUAAAAACUUAAUUCACAAAACAAGUUACUUACAAUGAAUUUGUACUAGAAUAAUUUCUUGACUUCAACAAAAUAGAUUCUCUCUUAAUCUCAAGUAUUCUGGUGUUUAAUGGCUUGCAAAAGUACAAUUAGGAUGUUCAAAUUUUGGUUAAAAUCGAAUUAACCGACCGAAAUCGAACUAAUUCGAUUAAUCUAUCAGUUAACCAAUCUAAUUCGAUCGGAGGGCGGUUAAUGGUUUCUUGAAAGUUCGGUUAUCGGUUAAUUCAGGUUGAAAUUGGGUAAUUAACCGAAUUAACCGAACUUUUAAAAAACCAAUAUUAUAUAUUACCAUUUCGGUUAAUUUUGGUUAAUUAAGUUAAUUUUAAUCUAGUUAAUUCGGUCAAAUGAACAUUAUUAAUUUACUUUUUGAUAUGUUUUAUACUUGUUUUAACAAAAAAACAAAAACAUAAAAAUUUCAGUUAAUUCGGUUAACCGAAAUAAUUUGGUUUGGUUAAUUUAUUUUGAAAAAAUUUUGGUUCGGUUAACGGUUAAGGGUUUAAAAAUUUCGGUUAAUUCGAUUAAUGCUAGUUUGGUUUGAUUAACUGAUUGAACACUCCUAAGUACAAUCAAUGUAGAGCUCUCUCUUUUUUUCUCUCUUCAAAAAUAGUCUUCAAUAAAGAAAAAAGUGGUAGAUAUAUUCUCAAUAUAAACUUCUUUGAAAAUAAAAUCUCUUCGAUUAUGAAAAUUUCGAUCACAUUGAAAGUCUUGAUAAAGUCCUUACUUUGACAUGAUUCUUGUACGAUUUGCCUUCACUAAUGCUCUGCCAGAAAAAUCUUCCAAGAUGCUCAAUUAAAAACCCCAAUAGUUUUGAUCAAAAGAUGUCAACCAAUAUGAUAAGUUACAAUUGUCUACCAAAUGCACGUUAAAUUGCAACUGGAGUUGCAUCUGACAUUUAUAACUAGCACUAACAAAUUAAUUGAGUGUAAAUCUUUUGAUUGCCUUCACUAUGUGUAUACUCAAACAUAUAUGUUGAACAUACAUCCAAUAAUAACAAAAAUAACCAACAAGCUAUUGGUUUAGUAAUAACUUGCAUGUGGGUUCAUGUGUUGGCAUGCAUUUAGGGCUAAAAAAAGGAAAAUAAUAUAUACUUUAACAAUUUUUAAGGUAUCUACUAAUUAUUUCAUUUAAUUUUUUAUAACCUUUUAUUUGUGUAGAGGGUUCUUUAGUAGAGAGAGGAGGUGUUGCAAGCAAGUAAAUAGAAUGUAUCAAGAGUAGCUAAAGAGGAAAACUAGAGCAAAUCUUAUAAAUUGAGCGUAGUAAUAGGUGGGGGCUUGUAAGGUGGAAAAAGGUUACACGUGGCUUAGAAUAAGACUAAGUAUGAGAAUAGUUUAAAAGAGUCUUAGAGAUAGUUUUGGGAGUUAGAAUGCUAAAAUUGUUAAAAAGUCCUUUCACAAGUUGCAAAAGGCUUCUAUUUAUAAUGUCCAAAAACAAGAGUUACAAAUUUAAGUAUUAAAUAGGAGUAAUGACAAAUAUUGUAAGUUACAAAGGCAUUAAUAUCCUUUUAAUAAUAAAUAGUUUAGGUUAACCAUGAAGGGUAAAUAGUGAAUAAGAAUUCACUAUGUUUCUGAAAGAAAAGGGAGAAGCACACAAUGUUAUAUGAAAAAGUUAAGAGGAAACCAUUUAACUACCUCCAUAUUUAAUACACCAAGUCAAUCUCUUCAGAACAUCCCGAGAAUCUUGCCUUAUUUUGAGGUUAUUUUCACUUCUUGUGCUUUUGUGAAGUAAUACCUUGUGAAACAUUUUAUGUAGAACAUCACUUGAAAUGCAAGCUAUUCUUAAUGAAGAAUUCUUCUUGAACGAGAGUUGUUCCUGAAUAAGGGUUAUUUUUAUUUAUUCCAAACAUGAAUUGUUCUCAACAUAGCCACUCUUAGUAGUGGUUGUUUCAAACAAGAAUUGUUUUGCAAUGAUGCUUUUCUUUAAAGAGAUUGUUUUGAAUAAUGACUCAUAUUUAAAAAAAACUCACAAUUGUUCUAAAUAGAAAUUGUUUUGAAUUGUGGUUGUUUUGAAUUAUGGAUAUUCUAAACAAAAGUUGUUUUGAACAUUAGUUGUUCCCAAAUAACAACUACACUCACAGCUAUUUUAAACUAGAGCCUUAUUCUGAACAUAGUCGCUCUGAACUAGCUAUUCUCAGCGACGAUUGUUUUGAACAACAAUUACUCUAAACAAGAAUUGUUCUUCCGGAAAAAGAAUUAAGUGAAACAAUAUCAUUACUUAUUCAUAGUUAACCUUUUUAUUAUCACCUUUGGGAGUGCAAUUCCUUAAAACAGAACCUUAUUAUCUUUGAAAAGAGAUAAAAGAUUAGUAGUAAAACUAGUACCUACAUUUUUUUGUUGUAAUCAAAGUAUCUAUCGUCCACGGCAAUGACUAAUCCUCUCACCAUGGGUGCUCUCCGAAAAAUAAAUGAUUAGUCAUAAAAUAUGCUCUAUUCCCAUGAGCAGAGAUCGAAGCCCCAACCAUAUAAUAAAUAAUGAGAUGAGCAAUCACCAUACUACUCCUCAUAAUUAAAACUAGUAUCUACAUUUUAUCUAUCUUAUGGUUUCUUUUUGUGUUUUUUCCCAUCUUCAUAAGUUGCAGCAGGAUCUUUAGGGAGUGUUGUUAAACUGGUGGACAUUGUUGAGCACUUCAAAAAUACAUGUGCACAAUACACAAUAUAAUAUGCAAUAAAAGUUAGCAAUGUCAAUUCAUAUUAGAGUGUCGGCAAAGGAAAUUUGGACGUGAAAGUGGUAAAAACAUAGAUAGAUAUUUAUGAGAGUGAAGGGGAAAAAAAGACCAUAUUAAUGACAGUGCAUGGUGGAGCAAUGGAGCAAGAGGGUAUCUCAGUUGACUUCAACGUACAUUGCUUUCAAAGGGGGGAAAGGGGAAACUUAAAUUUUUUUUUUUUGCUAAAAAUUUAUUGAAGAUGGUUAAGAAAAGGACAAUACGAGGGACUUGUACACGAUUGAUAAAAUCUAAUUGUUGCAACAUUCAUAAUAAUUUGUUUUGGGUAAGAGGUGAGAGACUCUAUUACCUAUCCAUAAGUUGGGUUAUUGGUUUAAGUUUGAAGGUUACUCGAAAUACGAAAGGUUUGGACAAAAGUGCGAUACCUACAAAAUGAGUUUCGGCAAGCUCGACCCACCCAUUCUAUACUUCUGUAAUAUAUUUUUAUUUUAUGUAUAUAUUAUGUAAUUUAUACCACAUAAAAUUAUAUAUAUACAUAUGAUAAUACAAUACUAGGUAACAUUAUAACAAAGAUGUCUAAAUUUAAAUUUUUAAUAAAAAACCAUAUUAAAUAUUAAAUAUUAAAUUAAAAAUAAUAUGAGUGUGUCUAAAAUGGACUUAGAUUAACUAUUUAUAAAUCUGGGUAAAUUUGAAUUAAAUUUUAGACACAUAUUUUAGAUCAGAUCGAGUCAAGCUUGGACAAAUAUAAAGUGUGCUAAUAUUAUAAAUAUACUUAGACCCACCCAUUAACGUCUCUAACCUUUACUAAUUGAAGUUUGGGAAACUAUUUGUAAUAGAGUUGAAUUUUUUAUAUUUCACAAGUAUGCAGGCGAGGUUUUGGGUUGAUGGCAUGCAUGGUUGAAGGUUUGGAAAUUUUAAAAUAUCAAGAUUGAGUCUCAAUUUAUGUAAAUCAUGUUUAGAUUUGUUUUGAAUUAGAUUCGAAUAUAUUUUUGUUAUCAAUUUAUUUAUGCAUUGUAAUGAUUGAUUUUGAUUAUAAUGAUAUAAACGUAUAAAUUGUAAAUAUAAAUAUAACUUUUAAGAUUAUAUAUAUUUAACUAAUUUUCUUUCAUGUACAAUGUACAAAUUAAUUAUAUGUAUUAAUUUAAUUGCAUUACAUUAAUUAUUUACAAAGUUUUGAUAUUUUUUAGUAUUAAGAGUUUUUUUAAAUUUAUGUCCAUCACGUUGCAUAUUGAGAAGUUACCACAUAUUAACACAAACUAACGAUGUUUAUGCGAAGAUACUCACUUGAAUAUAUAUGCACAUAUACAAAUAUAUAUUGUAAUGAUUGAUUCUGAUCGCAAUGAUAUAUGCGCAUAUUUUGUAAAUAUAAUUUGGAAGUGAAGUAUAGAUGGAUAUUUAGGAGAGUGAAGGAAGAAAAAACCCAUAUUAAUGGCAGUGCAUGGUGGAGCAAUGGAGCAAGAUAGUAUCUCAGUUGACUUCAACAUGCAUUGCUUUCAAUGAGGGAAAAGAGGGAAACUUAAUUUCUUUUUCUGCUACAAAUUUAUUGGAGAAAGAUGGUUAAUAAAAGGGACAAUAAGAGGGACUAGGACCAGAUUGAUAAAAUCUAGUUGUUGCAACAUUCAUAAUAAUUUCUUUUUGGGGAGACACCAUGGUUGAUUGAAAUGUGGGAAAUUAUUUGUAAUAGUGUUGAAGUUUUUAAUUUUCACAAGUAUGUUAAUGAGGUUUUGGUUAGAUGGCAUGGUCGAGGUUUUGAUAAUUUAAAAAUCUCAAAUUUGAAUCUCUCAUUGUAUAAAUUAUGUUUGAAAUUUUAGUUUAAAUUUGUUUUCCACAUUUGAAUAUGUUUCGAUUAUCAAUUUAUUUAUGCAAUGUAAUUAUUGAAAUAUUGAUCGAAAUUCGAUUUUAGCUCGAUUGAGUAUAUAAUUAUAAAAGCUUCUAACUUGUUUUAAAGUAAAAUUAAAUUAUUUGUAAGGACAACUCCCUCAUAGACAAUCAUGGGGCUUUAGAUGGGCCUAAUACACAUCAACUUAUUGAACCCACAUCACUCAAUAACUUGGCCUAUGCAUAUGAUUCAAAAUAAUAGUAUUGUUGUUGGGUCCCAAACCAAAUAAAGCUAAAAUUAUGUUGCCUAAAUUAAAUAACUCGUACAAAAUCAUAGAUCAUUAUAGAAAAAAUGUGGAGUAUGCCUCGCAUUUCGGUCAAAUUAAAACACAAACAGAGAGCAACGCCGUGAUAAGGAUCCUUGGAUGUCGCGACAAUGAAAUAGGGGAGAAGCAGAAAUGACGUUGCGACGACACAAUAGGGGACGUUGCAAUGUGGCAACGUGUCAUGCAAUUUUCUUGAUUUUCUUCUUCCAGUCAAAUUCUGAUUAUUUGUUCUAGUCGAACUCUGAUUAGUAUAGAUUAUUUUAAGAUUAUUUGAUUUACGAAUUUAGCCUAUAAAUAGGCCCUAUUUUCUACCCUAGAAAGAUUAACCCAUAACACAUUUAAGUAUUAACUUUUACAAGCUUUCUGAGAAUUUUGUAUUUAAGUUUUGAGGGUUUUUAUUUUCAGGUUUCGGGGUUUAGUUUUUAUCUCCAUAUUUAUACUCUUCUUUUUUUGUCGAUUUAGUGAAUUAUCUUUGCCCGUAGUUUUUACCCUCUUUGGAGUUGUUUUUCCACAAAAUUUGUGUGUUCGAUCUUUUCAAUUUCUUCGUUAGUUUUCUUGUUCAUUGCUUACACAGGUUUAUCCCCAACAGAAGAGGUCAUUGUCAUCAUUUAAAGUAGAAUCACAACUUAACAUAACUUAAACUUGAUAAACAACUCAAAAAUAGAAAUUUGAUUUCAUAAAUUUGAUAUUCCAAGCUUGACACUAAAUAAUCAAUGCCUACAAAAAUACUUAAAAACAAAAAAAAAGAUAAUCAAUCUCUCUUCAUCUCACAAGACACAAAAUUUUCAAAACAAAAUUAAAGAACUGCUACAAGAUCUGGUCAAAACAUCAAGUAAUGAUCUGAUCAAAAUUCCAUCAAAGAAUAUUAUUUACAAUUUCAUUAUGUUACAGCCAAAAUGUCUCUAAACAUUAAAAAUUGGAGAGAAUGGUAACCAAACUCAAAACAAGAUCCAAAGAAGAAAGUUGAAGAAUAAAAGAGAUGUUGUCACUAACCCUCUUAAAUCGCUUUAAGCCAAUCAAUUAUUACAUUUAGCUUUAACUACCCAAGUUAUUCAACACAUUUAUUUUGAUAGUAAUAAUACUCAUAAGGACUUUAAAAUAAAGUUUUAAUCAUUUAAUUUCAAUUACUUUAUUUUCAUCAUGUGAUAGACAUUAUAGCCAUGCCAUUGCCAACAACAUCCCCAUAGUACCAUGGUCACAUCUCCCCAUUGCCCACCCAUACAUUCAUGGUUCCAUUUUAACUACCCUUUCCUUGACAUCUAUACAACUAUAUAUUAAAGGCACUAAAGCUUUUCAAUUCUAAUUUCUUUUACUUUUUAGAUUAUAAGAAUGGGUAAUUUUCAAUAUGAUCCCUAUAUUUUAUUUAAAUUUGAGAUUUAAUCUAUAUACUUUAAUUUUGACAUAAUUUAAUAUCUCAAUUUUUAUAAUGCCAUUAGUUAGUCUAAAUAUUUUAUUCUAAUUAAAAUGAUUAAUAUAUGAAUUUUUAAGAAUUGUUAGCGCCAUUAAUUUUUUUAUUGAAUUUAUGAUCAUUACAAUGUUAUUUUUUAGUUACAUGGAUACCAAGUUUAUUUUAUUUUUUUCAAAAUACCUUACCAACACAAAAGAAUUUUAACAGUGUUAACAAAUGGACCUAAAUUUUUAAAUUUGAAAAGCAGAGAAACUAAAUUCCUAAAAAUAAGAAAACACAAAUUAAAUUCCAAAUAUACGAAGAGUAAAAAAAGUUUGAACAAAUUGUAACCUUUAAAUUUUUACACUAUAAUUUAAUUAAAAAAUAAAUAAUUUAAUUGGACCCUUUGGACAAUCGUUUGAGCAUACUUUCAAAAUUGCUCAAGAUUAAAUGUUGACAUUUUGACUUGGAUCUCCAUAAUUGUUUUCUUCAUAAGUAAAUAAAUGGUAGUCGAAUUUGGAUGAUUGAAGGAACUAUAAGAUCAACAUGCCUUAUCCAUUAAGGCUUACCCUCAUCCUUAUUCUUUAAACCUUAUCUUGUGAAUUAUGCUGAUGAAUUUACUUAUAUAAGAUUGUAUUUUGAGAUAAAUUUUGGAGGUUUUUAUCCCGAUUUAUUAUGCAUUAAAUUGGUGAUUUUAUCUCCACAAAAUCUGCUAAGAGGAGACUUUUGUACUAGCUUAUAAAUAGACUGUUGAUUGACUUCCUCAUUGAGUUAUUUGGGUGUAUUUAGACCUUGUUCUUUUGUACUAGCUAGCAUAUAAAUAGAGUGUUGAUCAAAUUCCCUGUUUAAUAUUGCAUGUAAUAUGAGGUAUUUGGGGAGAGUAAUUUGUAACAAUAUAAAUUCAACUUUGCAGCUACAAUUAUUAUUACGAGAUGUUAGAUUGGACUUUUGCUAAUAGUUAUAUCAAAUUAACUGUUGAAUAAAAUCAUUCUUUGAAUGAGGCUUGCAAAUAGGAUUUGUGAAUCCAUAUUGAUUCUUUAUUUACUUAUCUCUUUGUCUUACAUUUUGAAUUUGUGUUUAUUUCUUUCUUUACUUUGCUUCUUGUUUGAUGUGUUUAAAAGGUUCUCUCCGAACUUCUAUUCAAUCAUCUAUUUGAAUAUCGAAUUAAAUGUGUAAUGAUAAAAAAAAAAAAGUAAAGGAAAUUUUUUAAAAAAAAUCAUGAGCGAAGGAAGUAGGCAGCCAUCAACAUAAAAUCCCAUACAAAAAGAAACAGUAAAACUCCCUCCAAUACAAAUGAAAAAUAUAAAAGCUCCCCUCAAAAAAAAUCUCCCAAAGAAUACAAAUAUAUAUAAAUAAAUGUAAGCUCAAAUAUGCAUAGUAAAAAGCCCCAUCAAAGAGACUUAAGCCAGUAACAAUAUAUAAUGGAAAUUAAAACACUGAAAACAAAAACCAUAGCUAAAGACACAAAUGGUGAAGAAAAGACUUCAUGGUUUAAAGCAUUAAAGUGAGGAUACCCCAUCCAAUCACCAAGCUCCACACCAUCUUUCUUAUGGACCAUGUUUUCUCUACUCCACUCUGCAAUAAUCAAAUAACAUCUUGUAUUCAUAUUUUUUUCCCACUAUUAUAAUAAUUGGAUACGCAAAAGAAUAAUAGCUUCAUCCAUUGACAACUAAACAUGCUUUUGGAUAAAAAUAUAUUUAGAUUUGAAAAAAUGAAUUUAAACUAUAAUAUUAAAAGAUAUAUUUUAAAAAUAAAUUGGGUUUUAGUUAAAUACUUGAAGUAUAGACAUACUUAGAUAGAAUUAAUUAAUUAUAAAUAUAGAUAAAUUUCAACAAAAUUUAUAGAUGCCAUUAAUAUGAUUUGUGUGUGUUGAUCCAACCUGAGGUCUAAUUAAAGCUUUCCAUGUCAGAGUUUACGUUAGAAUUUAGAACACCCUCUAUAUUUUUGCUAUAUUAGACAUACUAAAUUUUAAACCCCAUAAGAGAAUAUGCAUAUACAUAUACAUACCGUAUCGGUUCCAGCAGGGCCUGGUGAAGAAGCGCCGAGGCUGGGAGUAGGGGCCUCAGUUGAUGGAGACGGUGGGCUGGAGGCCGAAGGUGAUAGCGCUGGAGACUUAGCUUUGGUCUUGCUAGGGGCCGGAGCUGGAACCGUGGCAGGAGGAGAAGCCAAAGGAGCUGGUGGUGGGGUAGCUGGAGGAGGAGUAGCAGGAGGGGGAGAAGCAGGUGGUGGGGUAGCCUGAGGUGGAGAAGCCGGUGGGGGAGUUGCGGGAGGUGGGGUAGCUGGGGGAGGAGUAGCCGGUGGAGGAGAAGCUGGUGGUGGGGAGCUAACGGGCGGGGGAGUCGCUGGAGGAGGAGUGGAAACUGGUGGUGGAGAAGCUGUCACUGGAGGUGGUGAUGAUGUAGGAGGAGGAGUGGAAGCUGGUGGCGGAGAAGUAGUUGUGGGUGUUGGAGGUGGUUGGGUAGUAGGCGGAGGUGUGGAAGCGGGUGGGGUCGGCGGCACCGGCGUGGAUGUCGGAGGAUUACUAGGAGUAGGAGGAGCUUGGCCUAAAGCGCCAGCUACAGCAAUGCAAAACAAAGCUGAUAAGAACAAAAACUUGUUAUUAAGCAUCAUGUUGGAAACAAUGGUGACCCUUUAAUCCUGCACACCCUCUCCGCUUAAACUACGCCCAGCCGCGCAAGCAAAAGAGGGAGAAGAAUAGCAA